rnacentral:lncRNA from 1 species
CUUUUAACCCGGAAGCGUUGCUCUAAUUGCUGGAGGGAUCAUGGGAUUGUGUCAGGGGAGCGCCCGCCAUCCGUUGGCUCUGCUAAUGGUGAGUCCAGUUUUAUUUAAUUAUUCAUACCGACAUAAAGUAACUUUUGCUCAUUACAUACACCCUCACUAUGUUGCCACACUUCUCUCAGCUCUCUAUGUUUGGUUCAUGGACAUGGAUUUAAUGGGGAAUAGGACUGUGCUGUGUUUUUGCCUCAGUGUUGUGAUAAACUGCUUGAUUUUGUAAUUGUUUGGUGCCAAAAAGGUGGAAUAACUACUAAUGUGUUGCUAUAGCAUGAAGUAAAGGAAGUAAAAACAAAGUGUAAUUUAAACGUUUUCAGCUAUUUCCUAAAUGGUUUCCAUUACAUCAAUUUUUGGGUAUGUUUUGCAUAUGGCUCUACCACUAUUUCUGUCAUAUUUCUUAAUUUAUUUGAUAAGUCUAUAAAACAGUUCAUUCAGAAAUAAUUAAAAAUUUUACUCAAUUUACUUAUCAAGGUUAGUUUAUUUUAAAGGUUUGAUAUGAAUAUUUAAAGAGUACAAAUGCUCCACGACUCAAAUUAAAUAAAAUUCAGGACUGCUUUGAGAAUAAAGGUCCUUUCACACAGGGACCGUUUUCGACAUGCGAUUAUUUCAGACAUCAGUAUUUUUUUUGAACCCAUUUCCUGUCAAUACAAGUGUUCACAUCAGCGAUGUUUUCCCAUCCUGCGAUAUUGCGGCAUUUAUUUUUUUGCAUCACGGUUAAUUUUUCUCAAGUUUAGCAUACUGUGUGUCCACUUCUGACCAAUCAGAUUUCGUGUUGUUGCGACGUCUGAUUCACUUGUAUAUCCAACAUGGCCGACCGGCUGAUUGUGUACACGCACAUUACAAAGAUAACGAUCUGAAGGACAACUUGUGGAGAGUCAUAGCGCCGGAUUUCUGAUAUGACGAUGGUUUGUGUGCUUUAACAGUUUGCUAAGCGCCUUUGUUUUAACUUUCAUCUGUGCUAACGUAAGCUAACGGUUGUUACCAUAGUUUCAGGUGCUUAUCUUAUCGCCUCUGAUUGGCUAUAAGUGCUGAUCAUUUGGUUUGAGCGUGUGAUGACGUUUCCAGCUUUUCUAGCCAAUCAGAGAUGAUGGAGGCGGGACUUUCCUGGGAAGUCCUCCCAGGGAUGCGUCUUUUCCCCCCCGGAAAGUCACAAAAUCGCAUCUGGCUUGAUUUGCAUAGUAAGGCCCAUCAAAAUUCGCCUUAUUUCGUAAUUUUGCGUUCUAAAUUCACGUCGGCCCCGGUGUGUAACGACUUUUAGAAUGAGAAUAAGAAGAUCACUAUUGAUCUGAAAAUAUACAAGGUAAAUAUUACUAUUAUUAUCAAAUUGCAUCAUUCCAUAUAUCAUAACAACCUUUAUACUAAACACUAGUCAGUCUUACUUUUGUUUGUUGUCAAAUGCAUUUUUCAUUUAGAAAGAUAAUGUUGAUAUUGGCCUUGUAAGGGCCAAUGUUGAUAUGAUGCCAGUUACAUUAAAAUGCCAUUAACUGGUCUAUCACAAGUCCUUCACACAACUAUGUAAACAACUUGAAAUUCUGUAGCCUUUUUUCAUGAUAUACAGCUGUUGAUCAGGAAAACAGCUUCAGAAUAAAAACCCUCAGAGAACACUUAUUAAAAUGUAUAAAAGAUGCUUAUGGAUUUCUGGAUUUAACUUAUAUCGUGGCAGCAGCUUUUAUGGCAGCAUUUGAUUUAUAUUUUGUACCACCACAGCAGCUGAUAGAGACAGAGCAGCAGUGGUAUUUUGAACAAAUUUCCUUCUUGCGGAUUAAAUCAAAAUGCCUCACUUCUGUUCUCACAUUAAACAUUAUCCUAUUACACCCAAAAGAAAACAUAACAGCUUGAAGCAGCUAAUUAACAAAUUUUAGUUUUUGCAUUUGAUCUGUGGCUUUAAUUUUUGCGCUGCGCUGAGGAUUGUGACCUCUCAUUUCUCUGAGUGUGGUUGCUGUUAAAAAAACAGUUUUCACUGCAGAUAGGGUUAAUAGAAUGUCACACUUACUGGAGUAGAUUAGAUUUGCAUUUAAUGCGCUGGCCAGCCUUGAAAAGGAGCAAUAAGCUAUGCUUGCACCUGCACCAAUUAUUGCAGUUAAUGCAGCUUAUUUAGGGGUGAAGCAAAGAAUAUAGAUGCCUAAAUUUAGUCGGGCAUGACUUCCAUCAAGGCAAUUCUGAUAUGCAGAACAAAAACAAGAGGCUGAUUGUAGAAAUGGGCUUUUUUGAUAAGAAAAACAAAGCAUUUGUAGUUGUCAAACUGUCACUGUAAGGCACUGAUUAAGAUGUUGUAAAAGAAAUGAUGUUCUCUCUUACUAAAACGUUGGGCCUGCUGCUGUUGUCACAUUAAGUGACAGCUGCAAUCUAGAGGGAGCUAUCAUAAAAAGAUUAUUGUUUUUCGGUUGACAUAGGAAGUCUACACGCAGAGUAAAUGACUGAUUAAAUAUCCUAAAAGCAGGAGCAUUUGAUCAAACCUUACUUUUCACCUCAGAAAGACUCUCACUUUACUUAAGGAGACAGCAGUGUUCAGCCCCAUGUAAGAAUUGAAUAUUUGGAAGAUAAUAGACGGACCACUUUGGAUGCCUUAUUUGAAAAACUUGUGAUAACAACAAACGCAUGAAUUUUCUUUAUCCAGGAAAGAAUGGGACACAGGAGCCCAUAUUGUGCCUCCGAGGCCAUUGUUUUCAUGUAGAUUGAUUUAAAUGAAUUUCCCCAGAAAUAUAACAUAAUUAGCUCACUAGGGCUUCAGCAAAUUCAUUGCAGCAGUCAGAGCGUUCUUCUCUGUGGGGAGACUAACUCUGCAUCAUUUACCUUUUAUUGUACCUGCAUGUUAAAACCACUGAAAUCAGAUAUUAUAAUGGUGCUGGCGUGCAGGAGGCCAGGAAGGUUUUUCAGGCUGCUGUUGCAGAAUUAAGGUGGUAAUUACAGAGACAAAUCACUUGAGCUUAUCCCAACUGUGGGAACAAGGAAAAACAAUUUCUGAAUCCAUUAAAGGAGCUUCCGUACACUCGUUGCAUGUAGAUAUCUCGGCUGGGUGAAUGCUGGGAGAGGACUUUCGAUGGUAUGUAACAGAAGAAGAGACUGUCCAUAUGCCAAGUUGUCCUUAGGUGUGACAUUUAAUCGCCAAACUGCCCCUGGUGGCUGUGUCAGUUGUGUGUGAAUGUGAUAAGUUAAAUUUGAUAGGUAGUUUGCACAGCAGCCUCCACCAGCAAGUAUAUGAAUGUGGUGUAAAUGUGAUAUUUGAUGCUUUCAGUGGUCAGAAGAAAAAGGAAGGCUCUAUAUAAAUUCACUCUAUUUACCAUUUGACUGUUUUAUUGUUAUUGAGUCUUUCUUACAUAUUUUAAAGCCGUCUUUUUUAUGUUUUCGAUUCAGUUCAUCAGUUUAAAUCCUGUCAGCUUAUCGGACAGCAGCUUCCCUUUUCUGUCCUUCUCUGUGUUUUAAAAACACACCGCAAGGUUAGAGAUGUAUUGAAGAGUGCUUGCUUUUAUUUUAAGCGUGAUGACUUUGCUGUAAAAACAGUUCAAUCAAGGCAGACAGAAGGUAAAUGCAAACCAUAGAACUAAAAAACAAAACAUACAACUCUGUGCAGGAUUUCCCCUUGAAAAGAAUUAUUCAAAAUACUAUCACUCAAUCCUGACUUGAAGCCCGGGGCACUUUGUGUCACUUUGUGUAUCUGCAGAGACUCUGUUUUCUGGCUACAUCUUGUACUUUUGUCAUUACCCCUCCAAGGACGUAAUGUUUUUCAGAAACGUCUCUUCAUCGGGGCUUUUGUUUCAAAAAAACGUAUUUACAGAUUUCAAUGAUGUUUUUAAAUUCUUAUAUCAUAAAAGUACAUUUUGUUCAGAGUUGUACAGCCUUGAAAAGAAUACAUCCUUUGAGUGCUUUUUGGUUAUUAUUGCUAUUAUUUCUGAGGGUGCAGGACAUUUUUCAGUCAGUGGGUGUAUUCGUCUUUCUUACCAAUACCAGCGCUUAUAAAAGCACAAUUCUUUCAAAUGACAGCCAAUACAAGAAAGUUCUGGGAAAUCUUUUCACUAAGAUUUCCACUCAUUCAAUUCAUGCUUGCGCUGAGUCAAAGUUCAAAAACAGAGUCAAGCUUGAUAAUUGAAAAAUAACAUAAUUCUCGAAACUGUCACUUCACACUUUUUCAUCUGUUAGACUCCAAUUCCUCUUUUUGUUAUAAAGCAUGAACUGAAAAGAAGUACAUGGUUAGCAUCUGUUUGGAGGAUCACUUUUUAAAACAAAUUUUGGUGACUGGGUGAAAACCAGAGAAAACAAAACACCUGAGAGUGUCAAACCAUUUCUAUAAAGUGUUGAUGCUGCAAAAGAAGAAAACUGUCCUCACCCGUCAGUGUGGAGCCAGCUGCUGUUGACACAUAUGUUGACACAGUUGAAGGGGUAUCCUCUACAUUGCAGUCUUUAAAUACCUCUCUGCACAUGUCACACAUCUUACACCUUCGACAGAAAGAACCAGACUGUGCUUCAGUCAUACUGCUGAAAAGAUUCAAGGUUUUCUAUUCUCGUUCAAGAGUUGCAGACCCAGAGCACACAAUCAACAAACAAAUGAAAGGCACAAAUGAAAACUUGUAUUCAAGACAGAACUUUAUAAGUCCAACAAAGUUUUGAACAAGACUCUUAGUGUAACAACCAGUGGCUUUUAAUUCUUACCAUUUCACCAGAUGAGAAGGUUAAGUUGUCUUUUGAGCUAAAGUUAGCUCACCGAUAGCUCCACUUGCAGUUUGCAAAGUCUGACUUUUAACGAUGAAUAUUUUUUCUGUUUUUUUUUUUUGUUGCUGUUUUUGGUUGGGUCCGAAUGAGGUGCUUGUGAAUAGUAAGUGUAUAAGCCCCAGGAGAUGCCGGUCAGCUUGUCCCUUUUCUAAAUAAACAGCCAGUGAAGCUACAUGAAAGCUAGGCUUUGAAGUUAGACGUGUACAUCUCAGUAGGUAUACAGUUUUUAAAUUUUACCUUGUAAGAAAUAAUGGAUGUUAUAGGCUAGGCCUGCACGAUAUAUUGUUUGAACAUCGUCAUCGCGAUGUACGUGUGUGCGAUAGUCACAUCGCAGAGCCUGCGAUAUUGGAGGCGAAUGAACUCAGUUAAUUUCAAGGGUAACUAACUGAGAUACACUGCAUGUGACUCUGCAUGUGCUUUGCAGCGAUCCACCAAUCACCUUCAUCCUUAACUCAGUUGCCAAUCAGACUACUCUGUCAGCUGACAAUCAAAAUCAGAGAGGAGGAAACCCACCCCUGCACAUGUUCUGCACAUGGAGGGAGACGCGUGUCCGCUGAGAAUUACUUUCGGAACUUCACUCAUGACUGUUAAGCCCAACAAAUAAGAACUGUAUGGGUUUUAAAUUGUACAUUUCCGUGGACCACUCUACUAUAAGCGGUGCGCGUUUUGCGAGGUGCAUGCAAUUCUCGGAGGACAUGCGUUUCUCGGCACAACACCACUAACAACAACAACAACAACGAUCGCAAAAUGAGCAACGAACAAGAGAAAACCAUCGAAAAUGAAGAUUUGUUGCCAAAAAGAAAAGGAAAGUCAGUUAUCUGGAAUUAUUUCAGUUCUAAGAAGGAUGAUGGCGACCAAAACACGUGUUCUGUGUUCAUCUGUCGCCACAAUAACGUCCCAGAACAAUAAAAGCUAAAAAUAUCUCUGAGACAGACAGAAGCCACUCUACUAACAUUCACAAAAAGAGGUAAGAUCAGAGCAGAUUAACUGUCCUCAAGACUUCAGCAGUGCAGCACAACAUUAAAUGCUAUUCAGGUCAUCUGGUGAAAAUUCCUGUAUUUUUAAUAUCGCAAUAUAUAUCGCGGGGUUUAAAAAAAUUGCAAUGUUAGUUUUUUCCAAUAUCGUGCAGCCUUAUUAUAGGCUACGAUCCACUAGCUUGUUGAUGUUAAAUACUCCUCGUGUCCCCUCUGAGUUAGGAAAAAGGGCCUUCUGCUUUGCUGCUCCCACUGCAUGGAAUUCGCUAUAGAAGGAACUAAAAUGAUCAGAUCUGAUCUCCUUUGAGGACUUUGUGAAAAUUCUUAAAACGAGGGAACUGGAAAGCAUUGGCCUUUGUGACUGUUUUUAACAAGAUGUUACACUGCUGUUAUUCUAUCACUGACAAUUUUGUUUAUUUUAUUCUAUUGUAUUUCUUAUGGAGUUAUUGUUAUUUAUUUUAAAUGAUUUUACUGUAACUCUGUAACUUUGCUGCCUCUUGGCCAGGUCGCUUUUGUAAAAGAGAUUUUAUAUCUCAAUAAGCCUCACCUGGUUAAAUAAAGGUUAAAUGAAAAAUUAAAUAAAACUGUGCCAUCAGAAAGCCCAUUCGUUUUUGCACCAUUUGUGGAUGCAACACACUCAUGUUCUUGUCCUGUAGGUGAUACAGUCUUUGCUGAUAGGUACCUCAUAAAAAUCCACUUAAAACAAACAGACAACCCUUUACAGAGACAGAAACUUUGUUUUUAAAACUUGAAAUUAGCUUUAGGGAUUGGAGCCCUGCGUUAGUGUUAUGGAUUUCAGCCAGUUUCAUAAUUGCUGUGAUUGUGAGUGGAAUUUUCCUGAACCUACACACACCAAAGAGUGAAGUAAGGUGCUGGCAGUACAGACGAAAAACUGUGUUACACACUCUGGUUUCAUACUCUUCUUUAAUUAGAUGUUUUUCUGCCUCCUGACCUUCAUAAUGACCUUGAAGAUGGCCAAAGAAACCCUAUUAAAUGAAAGAGAACAAUAUAAGGAAGCAGAGUUCAAUGCAACAGAGAAAAAAGCAGUGAUGGUGACAUUUAAAUAAACUGCUCGUAAUGUCUGGGUAAGGCGGUGCUUUUAUUGUGACAGUAAACAUAGAGGUGUGUUUCCCUGUCAUGUCUGGACAUGCUGUAUGUUGAUUAAAGUGCCCCUCUUUAUGAUCUCCAGCCAGAGGGAAAUACAGGAGAAAGCUCAUCUAGAGUGCGCUGUAACCAGAUUCACCUGACGACUGCUAGACGGGUAUCUGUACGUUAAAUCACCGUUUUUAUAUGUAUGUAUAUGUUUUACAUGUUAGAGGAGAGAACAAAGAUGCAACCACUGCACAUGUUUGAAGUAACGUCCGCUUAAAGUUGUCUUCUACUUCUUUUACACAUAACCUCGAGGGCAGAAACUGCACUCUUUAAAUCUAAUACAUUUAGAGAAAGUUUUAAAUCUGACGACCAGCAACUUUUCAGAGUCAAAUUUAUCGCACAAACAAGGAAAAAUUGGGAUAUCUUGAGAAAUUAUCUUAAUCUGUUGCUUACAGGACUCACGCACGGCCCAGAGACAUGUAAAUAGAUCAAAAGAAAACCAGAAAACACAUAACUUGAUUUACAAAAGCCCCAGUACAGCAGCUGCGACAAAAAAGCGAUGAGCAGACUUUUAUAUCAGAAGUUACUGUUCGAUAAUAUGACACAUGUCCUCAAACACACCAUUCUGCAUAAGAGGAACUUGUACUUGGUUCUUUAAAGUAUAUUUUAAUGGUUCAGUAAUUUCAGUACGACACAGAGCUAAUUGGGCAUUUCUGCACUGUGAUGCCACUACUCUUAGGCUGCUUGAAGAUCUGAGUACUUCCUCCACUCUUCUGUUUGGUAUCAAACCGAGGCCCCCUUUUUUCUUAAAAUGUAGUCUCAAAAUGCUUCUAAAAGAUGAAUUUGCAUAAUUAAAUUUCCCCCCGGGGAGGAUUCCCCCAGACCGCCAUAAUUCUAUUUUCUUUAAUACUUUGUCACACUUUGUCUUUAACUUCUCUGGAGUUUUAUACAAUAAUAGAGUGUCACUUGUAGAUGAUAACCUGCUCACCUGUGAGCAUAAAUGUAAUUGACAGUCAGCCACCAAUGUGUUAAAGCAGCCACAGUAAGGUAGUGAUGGGCACGGCAGUUCUUUUAGAUGUACUGAAUCACUAGAAUCAGUUCACUAAAAAGAUUCGUUCAAAAGAUUCGUUCAAAAGAUUCGUACAGUAAAUCACCGAAUCAUGUAGCAUUUGGCGGGAGAAGCCUGCGACUUCCUGAACCCCCUGAUCUGAUAGACAGCUGAACGGUUCAGGAUUCAGCCUCUGGGACCUGGAGACGAGAGUGUUUGGUUUUGUUGCUUUGGCAAACAGGUUUGUAAACAUGAACUUGUUUAUAAGUCAUUUUGUCAUGUUUUAAGUGUACUGUCCUAUGGUAUGCUGUUUAUCAGGUCUGGACUCAGUGAGUGAUUCAUUCACUGAACAUUUAGAAGAAUUCAGACUGAACAUGCACCGUUCCCUCGCAAACCGCUGCAGUGAUAGGAUGCAAUGGGUUUAAUGCACUACUUGUUACAUGCUGUGUCUUAUUGUAUGCCAGUUGUUGUGGUGGCCAUGUAGCAGUAAAAAAUAAAAAUAAAAAAAAGAAGGUAGUUUUGUCUGACAAAAAUGACUUCAGAGGGUGUAGUUCAAUGCGUGUUUCGUUCACCAUGUGAUUCAGGUGUCAGUGCAUGUGGUCCCUCGUUUGCCAGCUGCUGGCCUGGCAAUGCUGUUUCUUACUUUAGCUCAACUGAAGUGAGAAAUGAACAAAUCACUCGAGGAAGUGAUUCAGAUCAGGACGUUCACUUAAAAGAUUUGGUUCUUUUGAAUGAAUCGUUCGCAAACAACACAACACUAAGUAAGGUAAUUCAGUAACUGUGACCUUAGAUCUGACAAUUUCCAAAAAGAAAAUAUACGUAAUAUAGUUUAGCUUGAAUCCCUUUGAGUGAUUUCACUGGUUUUCGCAAGUGUGGCACUUGUGAUGUGGAAAAAUCCCACACAUACUCAAAAUAUAUUUUACGAUGGCCCCAUAUGGGACACAGCAAAUGUUAGCACGACUGUAUGAAACAGACUGGCAGGAGGCACCACAUCACGAUCACUUAUGCCACGGCUUGCUCUCCUUCUCUCUCUUACAGCAGGUGUGCUGUGAGAGGAGGGAGUGACAAUUUCAGCUCGAGGUGCAACGGAUCAAACAAGCCCUACAGUCCGUGGCAUAUCAUGGUUUUGAGUCACGGAUCGGGUCAUUUUUUGGAUCGGCAUAAAAAAAGAAAAGUCUCUCUCUUCCACUCAGCCACUGCUUCUGUCAGUACCUGCGCCAGAUUUGUGCCUGUGUGACUCUCAUAGAGGGGGCGUGCCUGCAGCAGCACAGGGCUCCUCAUCCCCCACUCCGCUGUGAUGUAGUGAGCAGUCAUAGUUACAUAGCUUUUUGUCGCCCUAGAAAUCCACCUGUCUGUGUUGAGUGCAACAGAGGAUACCUGGGAUAACUCGUCCACGGUUUUUGUCUUUUCCUGCUCAUAAAGACUUGGCACCAUCGUCUGAUUGAAGUGGGUUGGCUCCUGUCACUGACACACCAGGGUGAUGUUGCUUCAAAUGGGUAGCCAUGCCCGACUUAUUUUCACUCUCACAUCUCAGCUUUCUCAUCCCACAGUGCCUACAUACUGUGAUGGUUUUGUCCAUCAACCUACUUCUGCCGUCAGUGUUAUUUACAGGGAAACUAAAAUGCUCCCAAACAUGUGACUUAAAUGAUGGAGGAGGUUUUUCCAAGUUCCUCCGCUAGCCAUGACUACGCUGUUCUUGACAGGUGAGUGUGGAUUGAACAUGCGGCCUUUAAGUGAACACACGCAACAUACAUGCUGAAAUGUGGAGCGGUAUCCGUUAGGAUCAACAAUGAUCCAUUGCACCACUAGUUUCAGCUGACAUACUAACAAACUUCGCCAAAAGUUGGCUAUGUUUGGUCACCGCUACAGCAAGGCGACUUAUUCUUGCCAGAUCACCCAAGCUUGAUGUUUCUGAGACUGUAACUGCGUUUCCAUUACCCAUAGAUUUGCGCAAAACCUAAAUAUUGUGCGACCUAAAUAAAGGUCGCACGGGCAGGAAGUUUACCUCGUUGCUAGGCAACGGCCAUUCAAACACAGCUCACAAGAGGCAGACGGCUCGCUUAUGCACUGAACACCAUUCAAUGGAAACACCCGCAAAUCGCAAUUGUACUUUGUCGAAAUUUGAUAAACAUCGCUUUUAUUUUGCGAAAUAAUGUUAUGGAAACGCAGCUUGUGUUAUCUGAUGCUCUUUGGGGCUUUAGCUAAUUUGCUCGCCUAAUACAGUCAACCACAGUGGGAUGUAACAGUAGCACACACUUAGGCUUAGCUUUAGCAAGCUAAUUAACUUGGGAUCACUGAUGUUAGCCAAACUAAGCUAUCACUGUCACUCAACGGUUGGUUGCUGUGGGUUUUUGUCAGGUGGUUGUUGCUCUAAGGUUUACUGUUUAAUUCUAUAGGCUAAAGAAGAGAUAUGUCUUUAAUGUUGUGAGAGGGAUCCAGUUAAAGCUGUAAGCAAGUUCUUAAAGACUGAGUGCUGGGAAGGGCGUGUUUGAAUUAUUGUUCCCAUUUUCCCUGAUUUGUUGAAUACCUACUCUAGAAACUUUUUUGACAUUACUUUCACCAGCAAACUUUGUACUACAAAUUGUUGUAUAAAAAAGCAAACGCAGUAUAAAUCUAAUUUCUCUUUCUGAUACCAUUAAUGAUAAUAAAAAUGAUGCCAGUCAUGGUAAUCAGGCUCCAGAGACAUCACUUUAAUAAAGCAUUGCUUCACAGAAAAAAAUUGAAUUUCCUGGUGAUUUCAUUUGCUUUUCUGAUCAUGUGGCACAUGCAUUUAUCAAACAUUUUUUUGUUCUUCCACAUCCAGAUUAACAUUUUGAUAGAGACAGUAAGCAGAUAUGUGGAAGGAGGAACUGAGUUCACCCAGGAUGGAAAUAGAAACUCAGCAGAGAAAUGAUUGAACUUCCACAGGAGACUUAUUGGAUGUAGAGAGUUUAAACUUCCUGACAGGGUAUGGAGCUUGUCAGUGCAGUCAGCUUGUAAAGUUUGACAGGAAAAAGAAAGAAAGUGACGAAUUUGUCCACCCUUUUCCGCCACGGUAAGUAGAUUCAACAGCAGCAUCGUUGAUUAUUAAAUUUCAUAUGGUAAUUGAAGCAGUUUGGAGUUACUUCUGAACUGUAGAUCUUUGCUCUGCACUAUACACUCACGGUCAAAGCUGGUAAUAAAUUUUUUAUGUGACACAAAGAACUCCGCCGAUACGUCCUUGCUGUUCAGGAACUUUCAGCGUGUCACACCAGCAGCAAAUACCCCACUGAAAUUCAAAUGUGGUGAGUCGCAGUUAUCUUUUUUAUGGGGAUUUAGAUAGAGCUGUUUGGAGUCGGGGUUUCCCAUUCAUUUAUUCUGCCACCUUUGAGCCGCUCAGCUGUAUUACUGAAAUGAUGCAGUGUGACAGUAAGCUAUUUUUAUCCCCCCUCUCCAUCGUUUUUUAGAAAUUACAGCUGAUUUACUGUGGAAAAGUCAUAGAUUUCCAACCAGCAGCACGUGAAUUAGAUAUAGUUCAUAACAGCGUCUUAGACUGCCUAUUGAGUUUUGUUCCUCUGUGACCUGUAGAUCAAAGUAAUGGACUAUCAGAGGCUGUGCACGCCAAACUAAAGAGGCUUGCAGCUUGGAAAGGCAAAGGCUCGAGCUACAGUGGGAUUUAAUGGUUUCAGGCCGGUUCUUAAUUAUAGGAUAGUUUCCCCUGAGUAAUAUCUCUCAUAUGGGAGCGGAAGGCAAUUGUACAUUUCAAACUGAUCAAUACAGCAGGGUGGUUUGAUUAAAAGUACAUGAACAGUCUCCAUCAAAUCAAUUAACGCACAGUUAUUCCACUGGCAGCAAUGCAAUAAAUCGGACCUGAAAGUUUCUGAGUACUUCUAAAUCACUGAUUCGUAUGCGUGUCUGUGUGUGUAUGUGUGUGUUAUCUUUGUUGUAUGUUAAGAGGCGUUUGCUUCCAGCUGUCUACCUACAGUCUCUCUCUGUUAUUGAGAGAGUCUGUGUCCUUAACAAGCAGCUCUUGAAGCUCUCUCUGUCCUCUGUGCUACUGUUGACAUCUUGCACGAAUGCCCCGAUAAUGGCCCAAUGACUUUUUGUUCCGACCAGUUCAGCGGGUCAGACGUGUCAUCCAUUCCACUUUGGUCCGAGUUGGUAUUGAUCUGCGGCGUCUUUUUUUUUUUCCUCUUUGCUGGGAUUUCUUCAGCAGUGAGAGAAAAAUACUCCUCUCCCUGCAUAUCCGGGGCCACACUCGACACAUCUUACAUCCAGACAAGCUGUAAACACUGAUAUGAUGCAGCUCGAUAGUGAAAAGCACAGCUCCAAAUGUUUUUGGAGUUAUGAGAUCUUAACUCAGAAAAAUAAAAGUUUCAAGCUGUGAAGAUGCACUUUCUUGAAAUGUGUUGCUCAGAGACUCAUAGAUUUCUUAUAAUGGAGCUAUAAAACACCCAUUGUAUCCCAGAAAAAGAUUGAACAGAGUGUUGAGAUAUUUCUCAAGCUUUUUAAAGAGAAGGUCGUUUUAAAUGACACGCUUACUUCCACAGUUUCAUGUGGGAUUUGUUGAAAUCUGAUGUGAAAGGAUGACAAAAUAACUAAUAUAGAACCUUAUCUCUUUAAAAUCCAGGCUGCACUCAUGAUUACCCUCUAAUUACAAACUAUAUCAAAUGAACGCCUUUGUUUGAUCACGCUCCAAGUUCCUGUUUCUAUGAGCAAUUAUGAAUUCAAGCAGAUGUGCUACAUACUAAUGAACAAAGACCAAUAAUUAUUAUAAUUAGGAUAUUUUUAAACUUUAAGGUAGAAAUACAAAAACUUUUCAAAGCUCUUUAAAGUAUGCCUUGAUAUCUUUAAAUUGGUAAAGGAUACAUGUCGUAUCACAGAUGUUACCAAAAGUAUAUAGCGGAAAUUCUUGAAAACAUCUGAGUAAACAUGUGAAAGAAUCUGCAGUUCUACAACAACAUGCAUGCCAGCUUUAGCUUCUCAAAAACUCAGACCCCAUUCAUUGCCAGAUAAGAGUCUUAAAGACCCACUCUGAUAAAAAUCAUGUUUCUCUUGUUGACCAUUUGUUUAUAUGGUAUUUUUCUAAUGCUAGAGGAUAUCAUGAGAAAAUUAAGUGCAAAAUUUCUGAAUAUAUCUGCAUUAAUGGCUGUGAACCUCUGGCAGAUCCGAACAGCAGAUUCAGACACAGUGACAUUUCCUACAUCACAAGUCCAUGCUCUGCCCCUGGCACCCCGCUCUGCUGGCCAGACCCCGAGAAGUAGAGAUUGCGGAUUGCAAUGCUCGUACGAAAGCAAAUUAUGAUAUUAGCUUUCAUCAGGCCCCCCCAAAGUCAUUUGUGUUGGAGAGCAGCGGACAAGGUUUCUCGGUGGGGGAGGGUGCAGAGCAGCGCUGCCUCCGCUCAUGACUCGGAGGUGAAUUGCUAAUGAGCUACUGGAGCUCUGCAGAAGACAAGCGCCUGAAAAUUACACAGGGAACGUGAUUUACAAUUCACGUUACCUGUGUGUUACACAAUUCUUCUGGGAACACUUAAAAAAGUAAAAAAAAACAAAAAACGACAUACGUCAUAUAAGAUUCUAUCAUUCAUAAUAUUCAAUGAAAUGGUUGGUGUCAGGAUGUGACAACUGCGACAGAAAAGUGCGUCAUAGUUUUGUAAUCCACUGUACUCCUUCAUAUCGACACUUCUUCAAUCCUUUGAUCAUUCUCUAAUUGUAAUGUUCACUUUAUUUUCUAGCCUCUUAUAAAUACAGUCUGCUUUUUCACACUAGAAGUGCACAUUUUUUUCCUAGAUCGGAAUGAAUAAUUUAGCUUCUAAGUGAGGUUACUCUAAAAUCAAAGAUGUAGCUUGUCUGGUGUAAUUAAGAGCCUUCUUUAUGACCAUGUUAGAAGUGCUCUGUCAACUCAGUGUAGUGAGCCUAAAACUCAUUUUUGCAAGUGUUUCAUCAGUCGUGCAUAAUGUUACUUUGAUGCACAUGGCAGACAAAAGUGAGCAGUAUUAGCCUGAUUUCAUGUUAAGGUUAUUAGGUGAUUGAAUGACAAGGUUCGUCCUCGCUUGCAGACUGCUUACUGCUUGACAGUAUACUUGGAGUUAGACAGUCUUUUUCACUUCUAAAUGACGACACUCUGUGCAGUCAGAUCAUACUUUGGAUGAAGAUUUCCUUUUAACAGUUUGUCCUUGAUACAAAUGGGGAUACAUUUUGAUAGGAGGCCAAAGGACUUAGGAAAAACCUCAGUAUUUGCUGACCGGUGGAUAAGAAGCGUUUGUAUUGUCUAUGAGCUUCAGGUGUGACGGCGAGCUGAGUGGAGCAGGGAAACAUAUGGCAUGCAGGAUGUUGCGCAAUGAACAAAAGAUUGGCAUUGUAACCACUGUCUUUCAACAUCUUUCAACCUCCAUAAAAGAUGUUCCCUUUCUUCUGCUUCUUAGGCUGACUUCAAACUGGAAGUAUGUUGGUUGCAUGACAGCAACAGGGUGCGGCAUUGUUUUUUUUAAAGCCAAGAAUUACUACUCUAUUUUAGGUAAAGCAUAUCAGAGGAUGCUUUGGGUGUUAUAACAGUUUAGGGAUGAUAUCAGCUAAGCAGAAAGGGGCAGGGAGAUGGAUGCAGAAGAGAGGGAAAGAGGGAGAUAUUGAUGAUGUUGUUUUAUUAAUCAAAAUAACAUAGCUGCAGCCAAUGUGAUUUAUGACAACUUGAUACACAAUUUAAAAGGAUAUUCCGGCAAGUCCAUUAUGGACUGCUGCGGGGUGACGCAGCUCAAGGAAGAACAUUUAUGAUCAUUUUUUAAUAAUUUCUUUGAAGUAAUAAUCAUUAUAUUAAUCAUUUUACACUGCAGACGCUGUAGUUCUUCUGCCUUAGCGUCUUGGUCUGAUUGCAUUUCCAUGAAGAAAUGAUCAUAAAUGUUCUUCCUUGAGCUGCGUCACCCCGCAGCAGUCCGUAAUGGACUGGCCCGAGGUUUUGUUACAAACAAGUGGCUGCUGGAAGAGAGUAGGUGAGUUGUGUUUAGUCUCUUUGCUAAAGGAACCAGGCAAAGUUAAAAAGAUGUUUGGUGGCUAGUGCUGUGGCUAGGACCCUAUAUGUACUGUUGAUGAGGUUAGGUGCUGUUCUGAGCAUUAUUUGUGGCUAUAGAGUGGCUUUUUGGUUGAGCGUGUGUCUCUCUGUAUUGCUGUUGUGCGGUCGUUACUAAAGUUGGUAUAACUUGAGAAGCAAGUGGUCGACAACAUUCAUCUCUCGAGGGGGUGUCUAACUCGGUGUUAUGGUGUGUUUGACCCUAAAUUAAUUUUAUAUCCCUUUAAGUAGAGUCCUGAAAAAAAUAGAUGACUUAAUUCACCAAACUAGGUGGAUCUAUCCACUGAAAAAAGAACAGAUCAAGCUUUUGCUCUAAGUGUAAGUUUGAAAAGUAUGACAGUCAACAAAACUUUGACAAGAUAACAGUGUAAGAUCUUUGCAUUCUUACUAUUUCAUACCAUAUUUGACAGAGUAUCAGAGCCCAGUAUCCACACUGAUAUAGCCACAGGAUGAACUGUGUUAUGUGUUUGGAUAAAGUCCAAGCCUGCCGUUUUGUUAGCAGGUACUUUCAAUCUCCGAAACCCAGAGAAAUAAAAGAAAAAUGUCUUACUGUCAUGGUGCUCAGAGGUGAGCUAGUUGAGACAGUCGGCUUACUCGAUGACUUUGAGAAGUUCUACAAGACCUCAUCCAGUCACGCAAGCAGGAUGUGAGCGAUUCAAGGCGGACAGAGAUAUCAUCCAUCAGCCACUUCACCUGGGCCUAAUGGCUUGCCGCAGACAGCCAUGUUUGACUGUGUGUUUGAUGUGCUCACACCACAUUCCCACCUUCUCUUUUCAUGUCAGAAUAUCAGCAGGCAGCAUAGUGUCAGGGCUCACAAAUGGAUUUUCUAAUCCACUUGUUUGCUGGUAGUUCUUUCAACCCUCCCUUGGUUUUGAUGCCCAAGCCAAAAACAUACUUAAACACAAGCGUUGCCUUUAGACUCGUGUCUAUCUCACCCCUCCUCCUCCCCCACAGCUGUCAGUGCGUGUUUUGACGGGGGCUGAAACAUUUCCGUGGCGGAGAGAAACAGAUGCAGGAGGGAAAGGCGAAGGACAUCAGGAAAGCUCAAAUAAUGAGAUGUCAAGCAGGGGCAGACCAUAAUUGUUAAUUACAUUUAUUCCAGUGCUUUUGGAUUGCAGCCAUAAUGCUUUCAGGAAUAUAAAGUGGUGUCCUCAACAUGUUCCAGGUUCUGCCUUUUAAAUGGGCCCUGAGUGAUCAGACCUGAAACUCAAUAAAGUGGAGCCCUAUUUCAAUCUACAUGCAGGCUACACACGGCCAUAUAAGGAGAAAAGACAGACUUUUAAAACCACUGUGGACAAAGUACCAACAGCUCUCCACUGAAUGAAAAAAACAGCUGUUAAACUGGCUGCCAGUGUGUAAAUCAUCCGCUCUAACAUACACAAAUGAAUCCCUCUCUCUGUAAGUGCACAGAUAUCUCUCUGUAAAACAUUUUUUAAAACCCUAGAAAUAAAAAAAGAAUAGAAAAAAAGAAAACAAACACAUCUCACCAUUAGAGGAGAGUUUGAGCUCUGCGGUGUCAAGACAUGGUUCACAUGUUUUAUUUGAGGGCUUCACGUCAAGCUGCAAACAACGCCGAGGGUGUUUGCUUUGCCUUGGCCAUGUUUGCUUGUUCUGCGCUUUAAUUGACACAUUAAGUGACCUUUCCUCAACUUUAAACCUCCUCUUGAACUUGCGCUUACCAUGCUGCCGGCGAAUGGCGAUCGCUUUUUCAAACAUCUGAAAGUAAUUAAGAAUAUGCUGUACGAGACUUGUAAGAGAACACUGGAUUUCACAAGCGCCUUGUCCUCUGGUUAAACUCCAGACAACCCUUUUUAAAAAUUAACUUUUGACAGUUUCUGACAAUUUCAGGACUUUUCUGGAAUUGUGGCUUACACUUGUAGCGCCUGUCAAGAGAUUGUCAGUGUGAAAGGCUGCCAGGGUUCAAAAUCUCCUGUUUGGAUUUUAUAUGAGAAGUUCUGAGAAGAGCUUGAAUAGAAUAAACAAGGGGUAGGAGUUUUAAUGCAGCAGAGAAAAAUCCAUUAAUGUAGCAUGUAUGAGUAUGCAGGGCUUGACACUAACUUUUUGAAAAAUGCAGUCCAUUUCAUUUCUUUAUUUCUUUAUUUAUUUCUGGACAUGGUUAAAAAAAAUUUAUAUAAAAAAGACACACAAAACAACAGUUAAGAAUAAAAUAAAAUAAGUGCCCCACUUAGAAGCACAUCAAUCUCACUUAUCACAACAAAAUAAGAACAACAACAAAACCAGAGUAUCCACAUGUCCAAAAAAGGGGUAAGAAGAAGUCAAAGACUUGUCUAGUCUUACCCCUCUGUUACUGAUCUCAUAUAACUUAACUUAAACACUAUAACUAAAUGUUUUUAAGUUGAAAAAGUAAAGACCACACAGAGAACUUUAGGGGCACAAUGAAAAUUCAUCAAAUAAUGUUUGUCUUAUUGGUUGACAUAAGUACUAUUAUUUAAAAACAAAUUUAGGUCGGAAGCUCGCGAAGAAAAUUUUCAACAUUUGCCUUUAAAUUUAACACAAAAUUUUUUAGAGGACAAAUUAGGGGAAAAAAGAGGUGUGUCUUAUUGUCCAAACUUAGUACUAUUAUUUGAAAUCAAUUUUAGGUCAAUUGGUCACAUGACAUUGAAGCUAUUGAAGGAAAACAGCCUUUUUUAAGAACAUCAACCGGUAAUUUAUUGAUAGUCCCUUAUUCAACACCAAAUGUUCACAGCAAGAGUGCCCAGUAGAUUUAACCGCGCUGCUGCUGCUGCUGCUUGCCUCGGCUGAAUUUUUUUAUUUGCACAUGUGCCCCUAAAUACAUUUUACAAAUCGCACACAUCUAUUUUUAGUCGCAAAUGGGAGUGACACGGUUGCACUGUCGAGCCCUGGUACGUCUUUGCAAUCACACACAAUGGUUAGAAAACUUGUUAUCUGAGAUAAACAGUUGAAAGAACAAAGCAGGAAAACUUUUUUUUAAAAACACCCUCACUUCACCCACUUGCUUGAGGUGAAAUUUCAAACAUUAUAUUCUGUGUUUAUUCAUUAUGUUAACCUCAAGGUAGGAAAAAGUCAGUUUAAAGUCCGAGUCACCUUCACCCCUCUAAGACGAAGUCAGGAAUUUUCAAGAAUGCAUUUGUGAAAGGGGGUUUGUGGUUUUGUAUUGUCAGUUCUCUUAUCUUCUAUCCUGAUAAUAAAAACACUUCUUGUGAGUGUUUGGCUGAACAUCCUGCCAGCUUGCUGCCUUAAUUGAAUUCUUAAAAGAAACUGUCAAUCAUUCCACUUUUCUGUCACUCCAAAUGUUUCCGCAGCAAAGACAAAGACUCAGGAGAACUACAAACAAGACUGUGUUUUGGAAUCAACAACUCUUCCUCUGAUGUACAUAUACCUUCCUAGUUUAACUUGCCACCCCCAAACCAUCUGCUGUCAGACACUGGUAAUUAGUUUUAUGGUGUUCUUGGCAGCCAGAGUAUGGCUCCACGAUAAUUACCCUUUUAUUGUUUUUGUAUUCUAUUGUUAAUGUUGUUGUUGUUUCGUAGCUUGUCCUAAUUAAAAGUUUUGAGCUUUGCAGAAUUAACACAGUCCGCCCUUUUUGUCCUUCUAAAUGGUUUAUCCUGCAGAGCUUACAUUAAAGAAUAUGAUGGAUGGAGAGAGGGACAGGAGCAGAUAUGGCAAGGAGCCGGGCGUUUCUGUUUUCCUUUUUUUUUCAAGGGCUGUAAUAACUAUAAGAGUCCUCAGGUUGCUGGUACGUCUCUUUCUCUCUGAGGAGAAACUAUCAAUAUUUUCUACAAAAGCCUGUUUUUGUUUGUGGGGUUUUUUGGCGUUGAAAACAACCUGUGUCUCUCCUCUCUUCAGAUGUCUCUGACAUUCCUCUAUUUCCUUCUGCCAUGCCAUCCCCUGAGUAAAGCAUAAGUCAAUAUCCUCCCUGUGCCUCUCAUUGUGCUGUUUGUUUUAAUGGCUUUUAAGUUGACAGGCGGUCAGAACUAGCUUUACCGGUCCUUCAAAAAUGUGUUGUCUGAAAGGUCUCUGGUGCAAAGCUUUUGGUCAUCGCCGCAGCCAAAUCCACUUACACACCACCCGAUAAGCUCUCUCAUUCAACAGCGCACAUUAAUGUGAAGUAAAAGCUCUUGAGAUUAAAUGGAAGACUAGGCCGACUGAGACCAAACCCAAGUGAUAUUGACAAACAAAAAUCCAUCUUGAUCCUUUUGAAAUACAAAUCUUCAACAGUGAGACAGAUUGAAUGAAUACAGUAUUGAUUUUUUAAGAAUGAUAUGGGCUAGACACAGUUUCAUGGGAGACUGCCAGUUUUAAGGUUAUGCUAGACAACUUACACUUUGUUAAACUCUGUGGAUGUCUGCUGGUCAGCAACCACAUCACUGCCGACAUGGCGAAACAAAGAUAUAAAGAUCUUGCCUGACACCUCCUCAAGGAUUUCACUCUCGAGAAUUAACCGCCUUGAUGAGUCUUGUAUUUUUCCACUCAUAUUUGACGUUUGCUUUCCUCCUGUUAUGUAAAAAACAUUACAUUUCCACACAGUCAGAAAUAAAAAAGAAGUUUUCAUCCUGCUGAUAUUCAGAUGUGAAAUCCUUGAGCAGCCAACACGCAUUCAGGAGCUGUGCUGUCUCCUGCUACCCUCAGUUUCCAUCUUCUUUCUUCUUGCCAUCAAAGUUAGUUUUGUGGUUCGCGGUCAUUUCGAGACGCCGUUAACUCAAAGCCUGUCAUGCUGUUUCUCUCGUAUUGCACUGACUCCAUGGUACAUUCACACACUGGAAAGCCUCUCCACUAAUAACUAAUAGGCUAUUGAUCGGCAUCUCAUAUGCAUGUGAAAGGAAAUAGCCUAUGUGGUCAAACUAUGGAGAGGUUUAAUAAACAGGCCUAUGAUAGUCAGCAUCUCUAAGACAGAAUUCAAGAGGUUAUAUUUAAUACAACAAACAAGACUAUAAAAAUUGAUCCUUCGAUAUGAUCUGCAACAUUACAGGUUCAUAUUUUACAGAACCCCUUCUUUAUCGGGCAUUAAAUCAGCCCUCUUUUCUUCCAUAGAAGGGUGUAUAAUAUAAUGGAAACAGUGAAGUUCAAUACAAUCCGUUAGUGAGAGAAUUUGUCUGCUGUGUUUUUCCUUGAUUAUGUAAAUCAUAGACUCAGAAGAAGUAGUAUUUCAGCCUCUCUUUCGGUACAGUUGUUUGCUGUGAAGCAGUAAGGGAAAUGUGUGAUACAGCCUGAAUGACUGAUUACCAGAUCUUUAAAUCCCAGUCCAACCUGAACAAUGUCAAACAUGUAUGUUAUGCACAGUUACAUUUUUAUCUGACUCCAUCAUUUGCCAUUUUUUGCACAUUUUUAACACUGUUGUUUACAAAAAUGUAGGCUUGUCUGUGAUGUAAAAACAACCAAAGAACUUGUGUGUAUGUCCAUGUGCACAAGACGUGUUUAGCUAUAUUUUCCUCCAGAUGUUAACACCAGGCCAUUUUCGCCCGUAGCACUUGAAAUCAUGACUACAUUUUUUCCUCAUGAAUUGGUAGACAUCCAUGCUUUUUAGCUAUAAGAUGAUGAUUGAGGCAGUCAGCUGUCACUUUUAUUAAAAAUCUAAAUGUCAGAAAGUGGCCUUAGUGAUCCUGAGGUCAUUAAUUAUUUAUAUCAACUCAGAAAAAUUGGAGUCCUCCAAAUCUUCCACCGGACAACUCGCAGUUUCUCUAUGUUAGGGACGUGCUCAUGUCGUCGACCAAAUGAUUAAACAUCAUCACCUCUUUUAUUGAUGCUCUGCUACCUUGGCGAGUGCAGAUGACUGAUGGCAACUUUCACUGUGACACUUUUUCAUUUUAAAAAUGGGAAUAAAAUCAUAAGAAAAGCUGUCCCUGGUUAAACUUGCUUGACUAAAGUGAUAUAUAACCAUCAUAGAUAUGAGGGCUACCAGCAAAGACUGAAGGCUAGCUCUACUGUUAGCCAGUAGGGAUGUAACAAUAUAAUGAUAUAACUACUCAUGAUAUAACUACAUCACAAUAAGUGUUUGGGUUAGGCGCUGGGCGAAGUGCGUCUCGGCAGGGUUAAAAUACACUGAUAUCAGCACAACAAGGUAAUUAAACACUAAAGGCAAGUUUAAACACUCAAAAUAAAAAUAAACAUUCAUCAAACCACCAGAUGUAGAUUAACGUUAAUGCUCUUCAAUCUUCCGGUCUCCAGUGGGUUGGGCGAAUCCAAAAUGGUGAAGAUAAGGGGGGUGUUACGUGUUACUUGUUACGUGUGAAACAAGGGUGCUCUAAAAACACCCCCAUUAGCACUUGGUAUGUUGCUCCUGAUGAAAUUAACCAUAGACUGUUAAUUGACUCGGGAAAAUAAUCGAGUCGACCAAUCAGAAUUUUGGUCGACUCAGCAGGUAUCGACCAAUAAGUCGACCAGUCGACUAGGACUUUACAGCCCUACUCUGUAGUUCCACUCUGCUUCACUACAACUAAAACAAAACAACCCUUCUCACCUGGAAGUUUCAUACUGUCACAGUUCUACGAUGGUACCAGGACACUCUUGGCCAUACGAUACCCUGAUACUUCUGAGAUAUUGACAAUACUGUUCCGUCCCUGUUAGCCACACAUUGUUUACCCACAGCCACUGUCGUCUUGCGUUUAGCUACAUGAGAUAAAUUGUGCUCACCUUUGGACUACAAAUUAAAAACACAAAUAUCCAUUAAAGUGCCCUAAGAAAUUUGCCACUUGGGGACUUUUCCAACACUACUGUAUGAUCAUGUUUUAAAAGUCAACUGAACCAUGAUAUGAGAAAAUAAUUCCAGUUCUGAAUCCUAUUUGUCUUCAUACAUCCCAGACCCUUGCAACAAAUUUAUUAGGAAGAUUGUGUUUGUGUAAGUUUAUCUGUAAAUUAGCUUUAGUUAUUCUCCCUUCAUUGAGCAGGGAAACUUAAAUUUACUUGAUCCUUUAAUUUCUCUACAUUCUUCUUCUUAAUAAGUUUGCUUUCACAUUACUACACACCCAUUGUCCCGAAAUGCCAUCGCGUUACAUAUUUGCUCUGGCUAAUGACCUGUGCUAACAAGUAAGAGGGCUGCAGCUAUGUCUUUAUUUAACACGCGGAGAGUAAUGAUUUGCGCUCACGGGGGGGCUUCGUUGAGGGCCGGACAUCUCCGUCUGUGUCCUUUAAUAGGGCCUGUCUCCAGUGAUUAGGGAUUGUUGACAGGAGAAGUUGUAGUGCCGAGCACCAGAUGGGCCCCCAGUUUCUUCUCCCCAUUUAUUACCUCCUACCUAAUCUAUGCUUAUGCUAGAAAAUCACCAGCCUGCACACACAUGCAUAAAUGAACACAAGCUUUUUUCUUUUUGCUCAUUAUGUCAAAUAUCAGAUGGCGAAGCAAACAUUGUUAAGACAUGGGGGACAGCUUGGCUUCCUUUCCUCCCACGCCUCUAAAACUUCUGGGUCUUAGGGCCGCACUGGCAAUCUCACUCCAGCUCCCUCAUCAUUACACGACAGUUCACAGCACAGCAUCGGGAGUCCUCUAUCCUGAACCAGGCUGGAACCAAACUAAUUAGCCUGUCAUUUCUAUUCUCUUGUCUUUGAGGCGGCUGGAUUUUCUGUGAUUAGUUUCUUCCAUGUCAUUUCCAAAAUGGUUCAUAGGCCGCAAACUCUUUUCUGUCAAAAUUAAUCAACAGUGUCCUUUCUUCUUCAGAUAAAAAAAGAAAAAAAAAUCCAGUCCUUGAGCUAAUUGUGGAGAGAUGGCUCUGUCUCAAAGUCUUUUCCCUCGCACAGACAAAGAGGUCUAAUUCUCUGUUUUGAAUUGCUGAUAGUCGCCUUCUUCUCACGUCCUCCCCUGGGUCUCUAGAGAUCACACCCAAGUUCAGCAACACUCAUAACCCUUAGCCACCAGAGGCUGUAAUUGACCUGCACCUUUUGACUUGUGCUUGUACACUACCUGUACGACCAUAGAGUAGCAGACACGCAUAAUGAAUAACUAUGCCAUCCUCUGGGUGCUGAAGGAUGAAUUAAUUUGUAUGAAAGUGAAGGGUUACUAACGGGCAACCAAAGCAACUAACACAAGAAGAGCCCUGUUGUUUUGCUGUAUUCCAAACACACACAUUUUUGAUUAUAUACGUUCCUCCCAAAUGCGUCCUUACAUGCAAAAAAGUGAUCUGAUGGCAUACUAAUGCACACUGUUAGCCAUUAUGUAUGAGCCAUUUCUGCCUAAGCCACCAUGAAAGCCAAUCACACCAUUGCCAUCCAAAUUCCACUGUGUGCCUUAUUUUUUCGAACAGUUUAUUCUCAGCAAUUAAUGGCAGAGAGUUAAUUGCAGGCUGAACUGCAGAUGACCUCCUCUGCUCUGUUGCUGCCGCGUGUAUACCCUGAGAGAAGAGUGUAAUAGAUGUAGGGAGGAAGGAUGUGCUGAGAGGAUUAGUCUUGGCUCUUUUGUAAAGCCAGCCUGUGAUUUUUUUAAGUGAUAAAACCAGGCCAAAAUAUGGAAAAAGCUCUGAAAAAUAUGUUUUAAGGUAAAAUCCAUCAGUAAGAGACGGACCAUAAAAACCUGCAAAGGCUCUCUCUCCUUAAAGGAAUUUGUAGCACUCUGGAAGUUUCACCUCCAUUUGUCUCGAUCCAUCAUACAUGGUCGUUAACCUGUGACACGUGGCAACCAUCCACCAAUCAUCCCUUGUCAUAAAUCACUUUGUCCUGAGAAACAAUACCAUUUCUAUACCUCACAAUGCAAUCCCACAGGGGAGCGGAGAAAUCAAAGCAGGCGGUCACAUUGUCCUGUGCAAGUGGGGAAGGAGAGGCUGCUCGUCGCAUGUGACAAUGGUUGCAUAACCGGUCUAUGUUAGCUGAUAUUCGCUGGCCCCAUGCAUGCUAGAGCUGGCCUUAAUCGGCUAUGAUUGUAACUAAUGGCUGUAAUGAUGUACAUUUUCUCCCCAGCAGGACAGUGCAAUUAGGAUCAAGCGAAUUCAGUGGCUCCUCAGGGCCAGGCAGUCCCCCAUACCGUCUUUCUCUCCCAGUGUUGCAGCAUGUGUGUGUAUAAACGGUGUUUUUGUGUGUGGGUGAGAGUGAGGAACAGUCUGUUUUACAGAGAAAAUUGUAAAACAUGUUCUUUCUUUUAGCUGCUCUUUUAUAACUGACAAAAAAAAAAAAAACUUUUCAUUGUGUUUGUAGACUUGUGUAAUUAUCCAAACUGAUUAAAAACGUAUUUGCCACGACUAACACAAUUAUUACUUUUCCUUUAUGACGUACGUAAUUCAAUUAAAUGCAAAAGUUUUACAAUCAUUCGUUAGUGGAAGGGAAAAUUAGUUUAGUAAACAUUACCACAGGGUUGUCCAAUCUCUGUUUACUAGCAUUUGUUUCUGUGCUCCCACAUGUAGAUUGUUAAUUGUUUGCUUAUUAUAUUUUUUAAUUAUUUGUUUUGUUUGAGGCAAGUACACGUGUAGCACUUCAUUCUGAGACAGCUUGUUUGUAUUGCAUCGUAUCAUGUCGUGACUUGUCAUACAGAGGUAAAUGGAUUAAUUACUCCAGCUCUGCCAUUGCUGAAUUUCACAUGAUACGCCUAGAGCUAAAAAGUAAGAUUUAGUGCCUUUACUUCAGUACCUUUUUCUACUUUGUCUACUGUCAGUGUUUUAGUAAGAACAGGAUAAAGUUGGUUGUAAAGUUAAACAGUAGCAGCCUUCAACCAGCCAGCCAAGUUAGCCCACCGCCCCUCGAUGCCUCAGCACUGAAGAGCUGUAGUUAUCAAACUACAACUUUUAACUGAUUCAACAAGUAGACUUCUGUUAUCAGGAGUCUAGGGUUGACCUUACCAGCUUGCCAAUGUUUUGGAGACUAUUGGAGGCUUCUAACUAACAUUUCGGUGCUUUCUUUUCUCUUGCUUCCUCUUGUGAACUGUGUUCAUAACACUGUGUGUACUUGGCACAGUGUUUAAUGAGAGUUAGAGGAUUUGGAGGACAGAAACUCCCUUUGUCACAUCGUUGUUGGAUCCAGUUACUUGAUAGAUUAUAUACUUGCAGGCUUUGCAAUAAAAGUAGAUGACGUUGCAAUAUUUUGAUGUGUUUGUUCACCUAGAUUGUCUUUUUGGCUCGUAAACAAAUCUGUGGCUAUAACAUGCUCUGGGACAGUCGUGGGAAGGUGAUGAAGAAGCUAAGUUGCGUCUUUGGUAUAAGUCUUGUCCACCCUGAUAUGAAAGUUUGCCUAAAUUUCCUACAGAACAUUUAUGGAUGCUUAAACAAAAAACGGCUUGAUACAGAUUCUGAUAUGAUGUAUGGAUUAAAGCAGCUGUCACUUUUAAGAUGCGCCAGAGUCCCUCAGCGCAGUGCAUUCAAGCGCUGAUGGAUUACAGCACGACUAAGUAGAAUGCAUUUAUCAAUUUAAUUCAUUUGAUGUGUUUUUUGUUCUUUUUCAACCUUUAUUUUAGGGAUGUUCCCAGCGGUUAAUUUCACUGACGGUUAAACAACCAUUUUGAAACUGAAUAUUCGAAUACACGAAAAUUAAUGAACUCCCAGAAAAUAGCCCAAAUUGAGCACAUGUCGACCUAUAUGGCCAGAUAUCAUCUGAAAGAAAUAUUAAGAGUACAUGAAAGCCAUGCUUAUAAUAUUAAAAUAUGUUACAGAAUCUUAUUGUAGCGCUGGAGAAUGACAUAAAGUACGUGAAAGAUCAAAGCAAUUAAGCUCCGCUGCGCUCAAGCCAAGCAGCCCGCUGCGUCAUCGGCCUGCCUCACACCAUAAACACAAAAUGAAGAGUCUUCAGAGUCAGACAACUUAAAUCAAAAUACUCCAAAACUUUGCCCUUUUUUCUCACCGACAUCGCUCUGGCUGAUCACAUGUGCUGAUUCACUCUGAGGAAGUUAAUUCACGAUACCAUGCAUGACGCAGGCCAGUGCUGCAAGCCCAGAGCAGCGAGCCAAGCAGAAAGAGUCGAACGCAAAUGAUCCACAUAUUUUAGCUUGUUUAAUGCACACUUUUAUGAAGACAUGACGGUAAAAACAUAUUUUUUUUCGUUUUAAAAAGAGGCUUUUUUUUGCUUUUUGCUUUUUUCCCCCUCUUUUAAAAUUUAUUUUAUAGAAUAAACGAAUAUUAUUUACUAACCGGAUAGUAAGGACAGCCCCGUUUACACGAAUAUUCGAAUAACCACGCACAUCCUUACUUUAUUUACAGAUAGGGGACAGUGGAUAAAGCAGGAAACAGGGGAGAUCAUAGGGAAUGAUAUGCAGGAAAGAGGCCACCUGUGUAUGUGGGGCUAACCAAUACCACUGGGCUAUCGAUGCCCCAUAAACCAUAUUUUUAAGUAAAAAUUUGAUUUAACUUUAAUAAAAACCACAACAUUAAUAGUACAGCAAAACGAUGUCAGAAUGAUAUCCAAAAAAUAUUGUAAACCAACCACCAAAAGAUAAACUAUGCUGAUUUCUAUACACUGAAUCCAGCUGCUUCAGACUGCACUCCCAUCCCUUCUCAUUUGCUAUAAUCAUAAUAAAGCUGUUCUUUAUCCAUCAAACAUAUGUCUUUGUAUCAUAUGUCACACUGUGACAUCCUCCCUAUCCUUCCUGUCAUAUUACAUUUAAUAGACCUCAUAACGUAGCAUCACUCAUACUGUAUCGCAAGUAUUUCAUCAAAUCCUGUCUAAGCUUUAAAUUUUAGGGUUUGAGGCUUUUAUCAUGUUGCAGUCACAAGACCUUAGUGGACAACCAUUUUUCCAUGAACACUUUGGUCCCAGUCCUGCAUAUUAAUAAUUUUUUGAGUAUGUGAAACAUGUUCAAACAUGUGCUGGUUGACUAUCUGUAAUUUUGUUGAUCAUUUUUCACUGCAUUAUUCAUCAAACUGGUCUUGCCUUUGGUAAAACUCUCCCUCUUUUCACCUCGUCUCACUAAGUUGUUUUUGUUUGUAUAAUUGAUGAAACACUCUCCCACUGGAGAUUGCAUCUGGCCAUCAGGACUCAGUAUAUUCCCUUUAGUCUAUCACACCAUACGUCCCAUUAAGUUUCAAUCAUCACAGGAAUAGUAACAUUAAACCUCUUGGUAUUUUGUGGUCAGCACAAAGCCUUGAAUAUAAAAAGUGUAUGCAUCAUAAGGAUUGUAAUUUUUUUUACUACAAAACAUUCAUUUCCGCACAAAACCUUGUACCAUUAUAUUUGACAAAUACACUUGAACUUGAUUUGUUCUUUAUGUGCUUCUAGUUGCUAUGGUUACAGGGAUCUUAUGGCAGACAAUACUUACUUUACACACAGGGAAGGUUUUCAGGUUUGCUUCUAGUAAUAUCUCCUCCCUACUCUUAACUUUUGUGCAAACUAAAGAGCAAAGAGACACGUUUUAACACUCUCUUAUACACACACAUGCACACAUUGUGCUCUUCAAAUCAAGCAAUGUCGCCAUGGAAACUAGAGCCGAAUAAAGAGAUUGCCUUAAUCACUUGAAAGUCGUACAAACUCUGCUCUCAUCUGGCCAAAGACGUUCACUCUCCAGUAUGAUUUUUAAUUCAGUAUGUAAAAUAUGUGGAGCCAUUUAUUCUAUUACCAAGAGUAAUUCUCAGUGACAUGUGGGGCUGCGCUCCGAUAUGUUGUACUUGGGGUUAAUUAAAAGCGUAAUGGUCAAGUCUGUAUUUGUAAUAGAGCUGACAGGAGCUCAUAAUUCAUUCAGAUUGAUUAGAUAUUAAACCAGUGGUCUGUAUAAGUGGCAGUCAGACACGACUAUAUGGAACAAUUAUCCCUGAAUCAUUGCUGAUGUUGCCCAUUGCCCGUGCUCUCAUUGGGACGUGGAUAGAAAUCUAAGGACACCACAAGACCUUUUUACGAUAAUUCAUUGAAACAUUGAAAUCAACGAUACUUGUUGACAUAUCAAUUGAACAUGUUCAAAUACUUUGAAAUGACAUUUAAAUUUGAGCAGUUUGAAAAAUGACAUGAGCAUAUAUGUAUAAAACUUGAGACAGGGUUUUGACAAGGUGUUCAACUGCUUUGUUAAAUGUAUUACUUUUGAUGUGAAUAUGCCAAAUUCAGAAAUAAAAGCCAAACUUUUGAUAGACAUUAAAAAAAAUCAGUAAUAUCUUAUUUUGCACCAGUAUGCUGUUUUAUUUAAAUUAAAUCUGAACUUUUCGCAAAAUAACUCAUAUGAUGCCCCUAUUUAUAACUGUUCAUAUCAUCUGAUGUUGAUUCUGAGUACAACACGGUAAUUUCUUUAUCUAAAACUCUGUUUUCUGUAAGGUAUAAUAAUAAAUAGUGUAAUGAAAUAGUAAAAAAAUAAGACGCAAUUCCAUCAUACAUUAUCACAUGCUUCGGCUCGCAAAAGCAACCACUUGAGUUAUUAUACAGGCAGAUAUGGUGCUAUUCAGCAAAGUUAGUUUAAUCAUACAAGGUGAUUUAAAACAUGAUGUGGCAGCUAUCAGUUUCUUCACCAAACCUCAUUACACACCAGACUGAUUCCUCCUCCAGUUCAUAUUAUUAUCUGGUUUAUGAUUAGAUUUAAAAAUAUAUUACAGAAGAAAGCCAAAUAGUGACAUCCUUAGUGUCACCAUUAUGAAUUUUCUACCAUUGCAUGAAAGUGUGUGCAUCAGCAUUACCUCGAGUUGAAGCAUACAGUGGAUCUCUUAUGUUUGAGUUUUACAACAGAGCUAGCUGAUUGGAGCAAGCUGAAGACAUCUUUUAGUUAUCUCGGCAAAUACAAGUAUUGUAUUAAGACUCUGUAUUAGUUGACACUAUUUAAAAAAUCUUCUCGGGUUGAAAAAGCUGAUUGAAAUAUAUCUACUUCACACAUCCUGAAGUUUCUCUCUUCCUCUUGGCUCCAGGACCUUGAGUUUUAAAUGACAUGCAGAAUUCACUUUCAACUGAAAACAGGACUUUGAACCACGGAGCAACAGUCCAAUAGAUGCUUCUGACACUGUCUCUGGUUCAAUAGUGGCUUGAUGUUAGAAGGGCGACAGUUGAAGCAUCGUUCCUGAAGAUAUCUGUGCGCGGUGGCUCUUGAUACACCGACACCACCCUCAGUCAACUUUAUGAAUCUCCCAAGUUCUUGAACUGCCUUCUCCUCUCAAGGCUGUGAUCAUCCCUGUUGCUUGUACAUAUUAACCUCUUACGCUUUCCUUUCCAGUCAACUUUCCAUUGAAGUACUUUGAAACAGCACUCUACAGAAAGCCGUCUUAUUCAGCCUGACCGUUAGUGUCCUUCUGAUGCUUAUCCUCCAUGUAGAGGGUGUUGCUGAUCAACCUCUGGACAACUGUCAUGUCAGCAGUCUUACUCAUAGUUGUGGAUGUGUGAACUUCAUUAGACUGCAAGGAUACUCAGUAUUGACACUGCUUGAAUAGUAAUUCACUCAAACUUGAAAUGAAAUCUUGUAAUGCUUUGAGGUUUCAUCCCCUCUGAACAUGUUGAAAUCUUACUUCCUCCCAGCACUGAUGGAAAAAAAUUGAACUUUUUCAUUUUAUUUUAAUUCAUUGAGCCGAACCUGCAAAAAAUGCUACCAAACUUUUCUGGACUGAACAUUUCAACUUGAUCGGCAUGUGUGCUUGAUGCUGUGUUGCAGAAGCCCUUCAGUGGUUAGAUUUCCCAACAUCCUGAAGUGCAUCAGAACAGAUUGAUCCAACCUCUGUUCAACAAACAAACAAACAAACAUUUGGAAAGUUUUUUUUUUUUUCUUUCUCUCUCUUGAAGACAGACCCCACAAACCUUGACUUUUUAACUUUUUAUGAAUCUGUAUCAGGAUGUUGUUACUUCUUCAGAAAAUACUUUUUUUUAUUUAAGGGUCCAUAGUGCGUCUGUUUGCCUACUGUUGACCUGAGACCUGUUGGUAGUUGAGCAGCUGAAUAAGCAUUAAAUGGUAGCGAUAGAGGCUGGAAUUUGCUUUUGUAACUGUUGACUCUAUCAAAAUUCUUGAAAAGCUAACAUCCAUUCACAGAGGUUUAUAUCCCCUCCUGUAGUCGGAUAAUGAUUGCUGAUGAUUGCAGAUGGAUCAGAAGACUGAGGCUAUCUACUGAUAGUUCAGUUAGCCUUUUGAAGUAGUAUUGGAUUUUGCAAGAGUGGCAAGUUGAAUCACACCACAGCUGCACAUUUUCAGUUUGCAAUGUCACUAUCGAACGCUUUGAUCAUAGAUAUAAUUGUUUCAUCCCUGAGUAAGAACUUGAGAAAAUCAUCACUUGAUUUUAUUUCUCCAGAGUAUUGUUAUUUUACAAAUGGGAAGUUUGUCUCCCAUGAAAAUAUAACAAACGUGAUUUAUCGCUUUAUAAACCUGGAAAAAAGAAAAAAAAAGCCAGGAUUGAUGUGCCAGUUCCAUCUUUCUCUCUACCCUUCAGUAAAAGAACUACACAGGCUCUAUCUGUGUUUCCAUUCCUGUCCCCUGAGGCAGAGCUCUGAUGUGGAUGAACUAGAGAAUUAUCACUGUGAGGAAAGAUGGGCACCUGUCUACUGUAACUGGAUUUCAUGGCUUUUUUUCCCCCAUUCUGGUGGUAUGUACUGGAUCUGCAUUGAAAAGUGGAGCAAAUCUAAAAAUUUUCUUACAUGAGCUUGAUACAUCGGAACAGUGACACAUCACAUCACUAGCUUGACAUGAACCUAGAACCAAUAUAACAGAUUGGAAUGAGAUAGCACAACGGCUGAGAGAUCAUCCUGCAUGUUUUUACACUUUCUGCGACUUAAAUGCUAAUAGGUAGCUCAGAGCUGCACGCGUCCAUGAAACACAUCUUCCUCUUUGUUCCAAAGAUUUAGCUGUGGAGGCUGGCGUCCCUAUGCAGAGUGAUUUCCACUGGUACUGAGUCAUGACAAGCACAUCUCCAGUUAAAUCCUAUUUUGGUAAAAGCUAUCAUUUCGCUCCGUCCAAUCCCUGGAAUCAAAUAGAGAAACAUCAGUGAGAAAAAAAAAAAAAAACAUGAGCUUGCCCGGCUGAGCCUCAUGAACUCUGAUGUGGAAUUAUACCGAAGUGUCAGAAGUCAUUGAACUGGAAACAGGAAAGCUUCAAAAAGAGACGUUUUGCAUGAUUUUUCCAUCAGUAAGAAAUUCCCCUUUAGGGCUGGACAAAUGCAGGGACAGACAUGGUAGUUUGAGAGACUUCGAAACAGAAAGUGUCAUUCAAUCAAGAAGUGAAACACAUCUGCUGCACUCGAGCCGAGAGUGCUGAUAUCUGAAGAAGCAAAAGAGGAAACACUCCUGCCAAUUUGUGUCUCCUAUGAAUAAGAAAUUAAUAAAAAAUUAUGCAAAUAAACAAAUCCGUCUGUCUUCAUUUAGAGAGAGAUGAGAACAUCAGAGAAAAGAUGAAGAUCUGAUUUUCAGCUGAAAAGCUUCUUAUGGAAAGUCUUAAUGUAGUGAAUUAAUGAGCAGGGAUUAUAUGCUUUUCUGUCUUUUUUCUCUGCUCUCUGCUUAGUAAUUUAUUUUACUCUGCCAUACACAACAUUUCCACUGUUAAUAUCUCUACAUUGUCUUUUCUUUUACUAAAUCGUUUAUAUGCUGCAUUGAGUAAAUUAGAAAUCUUAUUUUUAAUGCAAUUUCAUGAUGGAUGACUUUCAACGACCAACAUAUUGAGAGUCUGACUGGCCCACGCAGAAAGACCGGGUUUAUACAGGUCAGUGACAGAUGGCGAAUGAAGUUUCUUCAAACAGUUCAAGACUGAGAGCCCAUCCAGACCAUCCAAGGGAAGCCGCAGUAUGUUGAAUAGAAUUUUUGUGACUUACAGAAAGAAGCAGUUGAAGGAGUGAUUGUGUAGGGAUAAGGGUUUGUGCCCAAACACACACACAUACACACAUACACACGCACAAGUACUUAGUUGAAGAGAAGGAGCAAGAAAGCGAGAGAGAGAGAAAGAGAGAGAGAGAGAAUAAAGUGGCAGUCUGGAGAAAAUAGAUAAAAAUGUAAAAGCAAAAACAAACUACUACUGUCAAGGUCAAACAUAGCAGAAAGCCUUCUAUCAACAGGAUGUAAUAACUGUUAUUUUUCUGCUAAGUUUAUCAUCACAAUGUCAAGAUAACAUGAUACUGUCAAGUGGUUUCCUCCACUCACGAUGCCAGUUCUCUCAAGGGAAAAUUAUUUACAGCAAAAUAUAAAAACAGUCAUGAAAAAAAAUAAUGCAAAAGACAAAGAGCACACAAGAAAACAUAAAGAGAAAACCUUUCAAUGGUCACUACCAGUUAGGUACCAAAAGCGUUAGGAAAUGAGCCUGAGAUAACGGUAUUAAAAAAAAAAAAACUGAACUUACUGAGUCAGAAUCCCUAAGAGAGAAAACAUGUCUAAAAAUAUAAUCCAGUCCCAGAGGCUUUUCAGAAGUCUGUCUAAAAGGCAGUUUGAAGAGUUAAGAAAUGUUUUAGGCGGAAAAGAAACGACUAAAAUGACUGAAAAAAACACAGUCUACUGACGUUUUUGUCUGCAUAUAGCAAAACAACCUUUGAAUAUGUAGGUCAUCAAGCAUAGCUCUUUUAUAACACACAGUUAAAUAUAUCUGUACAUUUUGGCGUAGCAAAGUUUUCUUUAUUUUCACCAUUUAUUUUCCCGAUAGUACCAUAUAGCUUUCCUUGGCCCUUGUGUGGUCACUAAAUGUCUUUUUCUUUCCUCUUGAUGUCACCUGAUCACUCUGUUUUUGAUGUCUUCCUACAAUCAUGGCCUCAGCCCCUGUAGAUUUUGCUGUUUUAUGCUAGCUCCUUGUGCUAAAAGAUUGAGGAAAGCGAGAAAGAGAAAGAGAGCAGUGAGGGAAUAAAAACAAGACUGUGAAUUAAAAAAAAAAGGAAGAAUAAAACGUUGAAUCUAUUUUCACAGCUGUUAAGUCCUGAAGAGCUGCAGGCACACCAGCAGCUCUGCAUAAACAUUAAGAGAAAUAAUUCGUUUGUCAGAAGCUGCUCUUCAUACUGUUCACUUUGCGUGUCUCUGCUCUGCUCUCUGUCAGACCCUCAACUCUCACUGGCGAUUUCCACCGCAUCUGGAACGGCUAUGAAAAGGCCAUAUUCGUUGAUGGUCGCUGAUCGUAACCAUUCAAGUCAAUGUGUCAGUUUCCACCAGCUUCUUUGGACGCCGGAGUAUGUUCUGGAGCAUUAUUCCCUGCUGGAAAGGAAGUCGGGCAUAGACACAAAGUGAAACAUCCGGCUUCUUUUGAAAUAAAAAAGUCAGUGUUUUAGGCGGAUAGUAUUUCACACCAUGCAAACAGGCGGGACGAACAAGUGAAAGACAGCAUUUCAUCCCGAUGACACCAUGGAUGAGAGGACUGCUUAUAUGGUUAGCCGCUAGUCCGCGGGUUCUUGUGAGUUUUCGCGAUUCCUGCUGUCCGUAAUCCACCACAAAAUUUGCCUCAAACAGAUCCAGUAGGAAUUGGCAUCGGAUCGGAGCAGUUCUGGACGCAGUGGAAAUCCGGGGUCACACGGUGAUUACACAAACAAACUGUUCAAAUUCAUUGGUGCACAAUCACAGAUGUUCUGUCAAGUCCAUUUGUCACCUUAUUGAAGUGUCCAAGUUACAUAUAUCUGUAAAAGCUAAGAUACCACGGUGUUUGGUAAAUGUCUAAAUCUGGACAAUGCCAAAUUUGCCACCAUCUAAAAAAACGUUAUCUGCAGUACAGGAGCUGUGUUCAAAUGUCCGUGGGUGGUAUUAUGCGUCCAUAUGGUCCUGUUUUAUAUGAAUCAAAUAUUUCAUAAGCAGCGAUGCAUGUUGUAGGGAAUACAGCAUAUCCUCUGUUGUCUCUUGCCAGUGGCAUUGGCAGAAAAAUGAUAAUGGAAGAGUAUUAACAGAAUAUUUUAAAAGAGAUGGAAAUUAUGCAAGCCUCCAGGCACACAUAUGAGGGCUCUGAUAUCUCCCAUGCUUCUCUAGUUUUACCCGUAAAUCCACUAUGUAGAGAUAAUUAAAACAGGUAAAUGACAAAUUUAAAUAUUACAUGUUUUGAGCACUAUGUGAUUAUAAUGGGCAUUCUUGUAAUAAAGAGUUUAACAUAUCCUGCAUUAGACCUAUUCAUCGCCGUUGAGACUCUUGAAUGUGCUGAAGAAAGAACACAUCCUGCUUUACAUCCUUAUCCUACAUACUAUAUGUUUGGCACGCUGCGAUGCCUUUCAGCAACUUGUAUCUGUAUGAAUUUAGAAAUGGAACUGUCUUGAGGUUAGUUCCCCAAACACUUUCUGUGUUGCCUCAAGCAGAGUUAAGUUUCACUGUCUUUUAGAGAGUAGCAGACAAAUAUAAUGAAAUAUAUUUUCUUUUGGCUUGCGGCCUCUCAACACACAGCCUUUAAAGAAUUUAUUUAGUUCAACAGGAGUCCAAUCAUCAAUAUGCAAUGAUGUGAAAAUAUCCUAUUAACCUGCUUGACUAAUAUUUUAAUAUAAACCUGGCAACUAUUAACCUGCACACAUUUGCAAUGCAGGCUGAGUUGCUUUUCUUUCCAAAAUUUAGUCAAAUCCAGUUUGCUGAGAAGGCUGUGAUAUCGCCUGGAGAAUGAAGUUAUCCAUCAACUCAACAAUUGGUUUGUUUUGAGAAGUAUGAGGCCAACAGCGCUGCCAGACUCAGGGAAAUAAAAGAGAAUCAGAUAUCAUAAUCCCACUUUUACAAUAUUUUAAGUUGUUUAAAGCCGGAGUGUUUCUCUAAACUUCUAUUACAUGCAGACACCUCAGUGGAAGAGCACCACGCAGGGCCUCCAGAGCACUCACCACAGGGUUUUAACAGCCUACGCUUUGAUGUGGGGCUAGAUGGGUAGAUGUAGAGAGAGGGAAAAAAAGGAAAGAGCAAGCGAGCAUUAAGUUCAAGGCCACGUUGGUUUGAAUUUACACUUUCAAGCUUAAGAACAGCCUUCCAGAGCUGAGAACACUGAAGAAAUGUCACAGGAGAUAAAAUCAUCGCAGUGAGAGUCCAAUCAUAGCAGAGGUCGUUUUCAUAAACCUUUUAAAUAUUGAUAUUCAGCAACCCAACUGUGAACACAAUGAAAACAAGAAAAGCCAAGCAUGCUGAAGUGAUCUGACGUUUAGAUGUUAAUUCACGGAUGGCAGAUGGAGGAGAAGUUUUCUUCUGUAGAAGACUUCGGCUAUGAAGAAGCUUUGCUGCUUCUGCUCUUCGUAUACAUAACUAAACAUGCUUUUAUAAUGCCACAACACAUAAAUGGUAAAAAUAAAUGGGUGGGAAGGCAGUGCAAGUUACUCUCACAAGUAGGGGUGUAACGAAAUAAAAUUCAAAGACGAACAAAAUACAAUAAAGUAAUCAAGAUUUGACCCUCUCGCUUGCCGUAGCAGCUUACAUGCUGCAGUGUUUACAGGAUGGAAGACAAUGUGGAGAUAGUAGAUGCUUCACCGUCUCAAGAAAAUGGUGAUAAGAUGGAGAACAGAACCAAGACUAACCACAAACUCUGUCGGUACAGUACAAACAUGACCUACCAUUCACAACACUAUCACAAAGUGUCUGUUCUAACAAAGAACAGUUAUCAAACAUCCAAACAACUCUCCAGAAGUCAUUCGCAGUAUCGCUUCUUCCCUCAAAUCGGUGAGAAUAAGAGGUGGCCCAUGACAUGAGACCGUUCUCAGUUGUUAAGGACGAGGGAUUUCAGAAGACCAAAGACCAUACCAUUCUUUCUUUGUGAAGCAAAACACUCCCACACACUGUCUCCAACUUUUGCAGUCAAAUUGUUUUUCAUCAACAAAAAUUCGUGACACAGAUCUUCACAGAUGUCUCUGCCUUCUGCCACGGCCACCCUAAUCCCACUUUUGGCUGGUGCCAAGUCCUGCUGGAAAAUUAAAUCAGCAUCUCCAUAAAGCUGGUCAGCAGAGGGAAGAAUGAAGUGCUCUAAAACUUCUUUGUAGAUAGCUUUGUAAUCUUGGACCUGAUAAAACACAGAGGACCAACACCAGCAGAUGACAUCGCUCCCAAAACCACCACUGACUGGGAAAACUUUACACAGACUCUGGGAUCUUGAUUUCCAAAAGAAAUGCAAAAUUUACUUUCAUCUGAAAAGAGGACUUUGGACCACUGAGCAAGAGUCCAGUCUUUUCUGUCCUGAGCCUUGUGUUGUUGUCCCUGGUUCAAGAGUGGCUUGACACAGGGAAUGGGACCGUUGAGGACCAUGCCCUGGAUCCAUCUGUCCAUGGUGACUCUAGCAGCAGUCCACUUCUUGUGAAUCUCCCCCAUAUUCUUGAAGGGGCUUUAUUCACAAUCAUCUCUUGAAAAAACUAUUUUACUAUUCAGUGAUCAUGGGGAUUUUACAACAUCCACCACGUGAACUACAGAAAUCAACAUUUGAAUUCCUCACUCUGCAAAAACUGAGAUAUUUGCUCCACUCACUCACGUUUGUAAUAAUAAGUCACUUGCAGCAGUAGGACAUGGCUUGCCAAGCUCCCCAGAGAGGAAAUAUGAGGAGGGUGAUUUUAUUUAACAGCUCAUUUAGCAUUCGUGUAUAGUACCUUUUGCCCAGGUUCCUAAUGGCCUGUAUCCCCCAGGAUUUGUCAGAAGAUGUAUGAAAAUGCAAAUAAUUCAGCAGGAAGUGCACCCAGCUCUCCCAGUGUGGUGACAGAUGUGUUGGAAUUGCAGUAAGGAUUCUGACUCAGGUGGGAGCCUUUUCCUGUUCUUUGGUGCAGAAAUGUUGGAGACGUGCCAUGUAAGGGGGGGGGGCGCGUAUACAAGGCUGCUCGAGCUUUGUCCCAACUCUGCCUCCGUGACAAGAACAUAAAUUAAACUUUAUAAAUAAUUAUCGCCAUUAUGUUGAAUUGACAUUGAUGGCAUUUUUAAUGCAAAGUUUACACUCCCAUUUUGCUUAUUCUGCUGUGACAGUAGUUUCAACUCUUUAUUUCCAUUAUGCCACAAAUAGUUUCUCUGAUUAUGAGGCACAGACAGGUUUUGGCAGGACAGGUUUUAAAGUGCUUUGCUUGUGUGUAUAAUGGCAUCUUAUUAAGCUGUCGACUUAUUUCAUUAAUACAGAGUAGUCAAAUGUGAAAUAAAAACAUUGCAAGUCGUGUUUAGCGUUUGCAUUUAGUGAUUGAAUUGGGUUUUAAUGACAGACAGAAAUACCUGCCAACUAUCACCCCAUUAUAUUCAACUUCAUAUGAUUUAAUACACAUAUAUUUUUACACAUGUAGCAACAACCAAAGGUAUUCACUGGAAUAGUCCACUUUGAAUAACAACACUUAACGUUCACACUUCUCUAAACUAUCAGAUAGAAGUUUAGUUCAUCAUCACAAGCUUCGUUUCAGUUUGCUCCCAUAUCGAUUUCUGCUCUCUCACCCACACAGAUCAUUCAGUGGUUUACUGAUUAUUGAUUAGAUAAAUGCUCCAACAGCUCAGUUAGUCUUCUCCAUCACUGUAUGUGAGGAAAUCACUGAAGCUGCUCUUUUUCUGAUGAUUUCACCUCAACUAUUACUGUACCAUGAAAAAGCUCCUGCAGACAAACCCUUCCUCAGACGGUAUACUACUGUACUUUUACAGCAUCACUACACUGUUUGGCAGUGUUUUAGGUAGAUUAUUAUAUACAUUCAUUGUGUUUGAACUGACUAAAUGUCCACUUAGGUAUAAGGCCAAAUCUGGUGUCCAAACUGUAAUACUGCAAACAGUGUGCAGAUCUAAAUCUUCAUUUUACAGCAGUAAAAUGUGUGUUUAUGCUGGAUUGCAAAACUCUUUACAGGGAAAUACAUCCAUUCCCAAACAAACAUGCAUAGACAGAAACAUCCAGCCACAUCCAUCCCAUUCAGUCAAUGAUUCACUGAACCCGAACAUGCAUCGCUCCUCUACUCUUUGCAUCCAAAGCAAUCCAUUUAAUUACAUCCCUCACUCCCUAAUCUCCCUCUUGUCAACUGACUGUGUAUUUGAAGGAGUAAAAGUCUAUGGCUAUGUGCCUGUAUAGUACUGGCACUGUUGGCUGCACACACACACAUAAAACGAGUGAGAGGAAACUUAGCCAAUCCCAUUAGGCUGAGCUCCUCCAGGGUAUCGCCCCCUAUCAGACAAUUAGUUACCAAAGGUUCCUAAUGAGUUUACCACAAUGUAUUACCUGGAACCAGCCCCUUCUAGUAGCCUAUCACAACCCCUGGCCAGAAAUAGAUAUAAUACAGACAACAACAGAUUUCUGUGGAAGGCUAAACUGAGGGGGAAAUAACUCAUGGUCUUAAACAGGAACUGAUUUAUCUGUAUCAGUGGUUGUUGGCUGGACCACAAGCUAAGCAAAAAGUGUUUCUUUUGUGUUGCAUCUUUGCUGAGGGUGAGCUCAUAGUUUCAAGGAUAAACUCCCAUUUUUGAAAAUCCCCUUUUGUCAGACCAGUAUAAUGCAGAAACUGUUGAAUCAUUACACAAAACAUAAUAGAAAGUAGUUGUUGUUUUCUAAUCAUCAACAAUUCACCUGUGGGUCAUGCCAGUAUGAUCUCUAUGACAACCUUAAAGCUGGAAUGUUGUGCUUAGUAAAAAAACAAACAAAAUAAAACAUAUUCUUGAUGUGUUGCUGUUUCCACACACCAAGCGGGAGUAAAAUCAUUCGCGCGAAUGAAUUACAUGUUAAGUCAAUGCAAAGACGCGAUAAGACGCUCCUACUACUCUGGCGGCGCAAAUGAUGCGAAUUGGGCGGGAGCUGAAAAUGUCUCAACUUUAGCAGAUAUUCAUGUCAUGAAAACUAAUAAGCACGAAGAUUGCCGGGUAACGUAUGAAAAUGAAAGUUUGUUCACUGGUACCUAAAAUUGAGGACAAACUGAUCGUGUCGGUGUGUGGGUGCCCCGAAUUAUUUCAUACCGUUAUUCAAUUACCGAAAACAGAAUAAGAAGGAGCUCGCCUGGAGGAAAGUAAGGGAAGUGAGUGAGGAGGUCGGGUUACCUGGCAAAUUGUAAAAAGCCUUUGUCUAUCACUUGAUCCCGCCGGCUGAUUGGCAGGGAUUACUGUUGAAAUUACUGUUGACGCACAAAUGAAGCAAGUAAAUACUAUUCAUUCACGUGUCUAGAUUCAUGUGAAUAAGGCGAGUAGAUGAUUUUACUCACGCUUGGUGUGAGCGCUCCAUUACACAUUAAUUAAAGCCUUUAUUUACUUGACAGAAAUAUUAAAACUGAAAAUGUUAUUCUUGUUAAAUUUGAUGCCAGCAGCAUAUUUCCUCCAAGCUGGCGCCGGGGGACAUUUACCAUUGUGUCUCUUGUUUUAACAACAAUUUAUAAACUUUUGAGCUGAAGCAGACUCAGGAUGGGAAUCGAAAACUAGUUCUAACAAAUUCAAGCCAUCUACAUAAUUUUCAGAGGGACGACAAUAAAGGAGUCAAGGAAGUAAUCGUAGCAGACAGACUCUAGAUUUAACUCAAGAAAUAAAACUAUAUGAUGUACCAAUAAUGGUAAAUUCUGACCUCGUGAGCUUGCCAGAAGUAAACUCUGCAAUGUCCAAGGGCUUUUCCGUCCCACAGAGCAGAUUGGUGUGUUUUCAGAGGUGGUUCCCUAGGAAAGCAAAGGUAAUCUGUGAUUGUUUUUGCUCCUUGCAGACUGCUGGGUAGAGGCUGCCAUCAGACUACUGAACACUUUCUUAAUGUUACCAUCAUUUGGAGUCAGUGAAGCCUUUGCCCAAGAAGUAUAAUCCAAUAUUGACGCCAAAUAAGCACUGAAUCCUCUUGAUUGUCUGAUGGUCUAUCUCUCCACUGCUACUCUGGGGUGGGUCCCCACCAGAUCCAGAUCCAGUUAAAGAUUUUAAUCCAAGCACAUUAUGCCCACAAAGAUUUACAGAUUACUAAUUCAAACCCUGCUCUACCAUGGCAGAGCAGGGUUUGAAUCCUUCUUUCUCGAGCAAGAAACCUCAGCAUAAAUGCUACCAGUGAUGGGAAGGCUCUUUCCAACUGAUCCAGAUCAUUUGGCUCAUUGAGAACCAGAUCUUUUGGCUUGGAAAUGGUUCUUGAAGUAGGUUUUUGGAAUCAAAGAGUCUUGUUCACUCUACUGAGAUGUUUUACUGUAUUCUAUAGGUGUCUGUACAAUAAAACAGCUGAAAAUAACAACAUUGCAGAGAUUUGUGUGAUAAAAUUCAAGUUGACUUUGGUAUCCUUGAUAGACUUUUAAAGUCUUUUACUUUUAGAGGUCAGCUCUUUUGGUUGUGCAACAUUCCUGACACCUCCAUGAACUUUUCACAUCUACUGAAGAAGCUGUUUUUCAGAUUUGAACAGGGACAAAGUCUGCUGAAAUUAUUACAGAAAGUGUCUUGCUUUUUACAACAAGAGAGGGUUGCAGGAGUCAGAUUUCAGUAAUUGCGUGAUCAGUGUGAAGCAAGUUCACCCGGAGCCAUGUGAAGAGGCUGAUGACUGACAGGAUAAUAGAGAAAGAGUCUAGUAUUAAAAUAUCUUAGCAAGAUAUCUAAAAAUACUGGACUUUAUCAGCUCUUUUUUCUGGUUAAGUGCUCAUUUGCUCUGGUGUUUUCUCUAGUUUAUUAACUGGUGGGAAAAUCGCCUUUCCCUGGCAUCCCCCACUAGGUGAGACACAGUUCAAAAAUGCAUAUUAAGAUUGGACUUAAGGUAAAUUAACACAGUAUGACUAAAAAUAUAUAAGUAGGGGCUCAGUACUUGUCUGUAUUACACAGGUUCCCACGGUUCUCACUUGCUGUCUUAUAAAGGAGAACUCGCUGUGGGAGGUUCAUUAAUCACUGAAGCUCAGCGUUGCUGUGGCAACACCAGGACACAAAAUCCUCUUUUGCUUUUAUACUGAGCCCACCUGGUCUGUUUUUAUAGCACUAAGGGUCAGCCUUUAGUAACACAAGGCAAAUGUUUUUUAUUGAUGCAGUGCUCAAAGGAUGAGCGGAGAUGGGCGAGUGUGUGUGUGUGUGAAGUUCAGGCUGUGCCUCAGGUUUGUGAGUUUAAACCUCUUUCUUCCUGCACAUCCUGGCAAAAUCCCCACUAAGAUAAACACCUUUCUUCUUGACAGAUACCACACAUUUCGUAUCGCACCUUCAGUUUUGUAAAGUGAGAGCUACAAAGGAGAGAUAAGCAGUGUGAUAGCCUUGAACAGCUCAUUUAGCAUUCAUGUAAAGGACAGCUCGCUCUGAAGUUCAGCUUCUCCAGGGACAGAAACAGAGCCCCCUAUGUACCUCUGGCAAACAGUUCUCCAUUUGAACGCAGCUCUGCUGGAAGUGCAGGGAUGUUUACGGGGGGAUUUUACCUCGCGGCACAGGCUGACAUGUAUGAACUGAUCAUCCCUCAUGUUUCCUUAUAUGGUUACAACACAGUCUAAACUGGCAACUUUCGGGUUUCAGUACAAAACGCUUACAGCUGUAAAAGAGUGUUCUAAAAAUAGCUCAUCUGUUUAGUUUUUUUUUUUCUUUUCCACUUGUUUUCUGGAGUGGGAGGACCUUAACUUUUCAGUUUCAACGCCCGAGCUUGGCCUCUGAGCUGGGCGCUUGCUCAACUUGAUCCGCCUUUUUCACUCCCUGUGCUUGCCAAUUUUCCUGACAAGUGAAGCAGAAUGCAGACGGAGACGGAGAAAAGGGGGGUUUGAGGCUGACGCAAAAGCAUGACAGCCCGUCCCUGCCCUUUGUAAUGGCUGUGCUCACCCUUUGAGCAUCCCCCCCAGACUCCCCCCUUCCCCUCCUCUAGUUUUCCUCCCCCUGAAGCCAGACUUACCAGAACAGGGUUUAUCAUCUGUGAUAAAGUACCCAUGGUCUGGGAGGAAUCAGUCCUGGAUGUUUAUUACAUUAGGUCAGUGCGUACUAAUGGAGGGACUCCUACAGACCAUGUCAUUGCCACGGGGCAGGAGGUUAAGAGUGGAUACAAAACAGAAGUACUCCUCUCUCAUCCGUCUUUCUCUCCCUCUGUUUCUCACAGACUUUAACACAACCUCACAGGAGAGGCGAUACUUGACUGGAAAGCCUUUUCCUGUCUGGAGCAUAUGCAGUUGUUUGACUAAAUACACUUUGAAAAUAAAAAUAUAUAUCUAGUGUUUUCAUCCUUUUUUGAAAACGUGCCUCAACUAAACUCCAUUUAUAACAGCAACAUGAAAUUGGACACUGUUUACAAGGGCGGUCAGUGUAUGAUACUGAUAGAGCCUCAUUACGGGAUGUUACGAAAAUCUAAACUCUAACAAACGAACUCCUCCAAGGGUGAGAAAAAUAACUCAGAAACCACAAAAAACUGGGCAGAAUUAAAGUUUUAAACUUUUAAAUAUCUUCUUAAGACAUGCAACAACUCAGUGUGAGUAGCGAUCUAUAAUAAAAAUGUCACACACACUGGAAGUCCUGAGAAGUGCAAAUGCUGACGGUUUAACCUGGAAUCAUUAGAUGUCAGUGAGUUGUGAAAAUUAUUAGUGCACACCAUGUUAGUGGACAUUCUGUACACAUACACUUCUAAAAACAAUACAAUACAAAAUCAUUAUUUAUCUCCAAAUGGAAAUUAAUUUAUCUGGAAUCUCAUGAAGGAUAGUUUAACUGUAAAUCCACUGAAGUGAAAGGAGAGGGUGAGAUGUUUGAAGUCUCCUGAUAUUAUUACGAGUGCCUCAGGAUGCUGAGAAUACAUGCAAACAAGUAUUGUUAUGAUAUGACUGAACUCCUUUAGAACAUAAUAUGUCCAAAGAGCAACUGUUAACGGUUCAAUAUCUGGACAACACAUCCUCUCCUUGAUGGUUAUGAGUGAAGAGUUACACCAAAUAAAGCCAGACCCCCUACUUUGUUUAGCAUCUCUGUCUGACCUCAUGAGAGUGACGCCAGGUAGAUCCACACUUGAUUUAACCAGGCUUCAGUCAAACACAAGAGACUGCACUCAUUGGAUGAAUGUUUUCUCAGUCUUCACCAAUACCUCCAGCUUCUCGCUUCAGAGAGUUGAGGCAUACCCAUGAUGACUGAUGAGAGAAAGGUCUUAUAUGUCCAUUAUUAUUAUUAUUAUCAUUAUUAUUAUUAUUAUUAUUAUUAUUAUUAUUAUUGCUCAGCCUAAUGGGAUUGGCUAAGUUUCCUCUUAGCCAAGUUUGAAUGGAAAAAGUCAUUUAAUUCCACAAUCAGUGUUCAUAUAGACUUUAAUAUUGUUUUGAAAUGCAAAAUAAAUGAAUUUUAAAGCAUGUGAUUCAAAGAAUGAUUGAUCAUUUUAUUGAUUGCAGUUUAAAAAAAAGGUAGACAGCUCUGACACGAUCCUGCAGCAUGUCCUACAAAUGAUAAAAGCACAGGAGGAAUUCAGAUCUGUAUUAUAAAAGGAGGAUUUUUCUUUUUGCAUCACUGACACCUUAUUUUAGACAAGACUGGGUACUCAAGAGGAGUUGAAAUGAUUUGCCAUUAAAGCUUUUGCAGAUAUGCAUAAAAAUGACAAGUGUUACCAUGGUUACAUUGUAAGAAGACAUUUGAGUGUCUCAGAUUUCUCACCUCAGUCACCUAUUUUUCUAUAGUACUGUAGAUAUAAGUGCAGCAUUCAAAGUUGGUCCACGAUUCUCCUCCGGGCCUCUAAUGAUGACUUUACUCUGACUUACGUUGUUCAGGUGUCUUCGAAAGCAUCAGCUGCCAAAUCACCUGAGGCCCACAAUUAGUGUCGAGCAGCUGCUAAGCUUUCUGUGCCACAACAAUUCACACUCUGUGGACACAGACUGUCAGUGCUGCAAGAUCAGCCACACAAAGAGACGAAGUCUGUCUUGUUUCCCCCCACUUUGUCAGUCUCCAACAUUAAGUCAUGGAUUUAUGAAUGCAAAGAGAGGAUACACCUUUAACGCCAUGACUUAUGCCAAGUGUGGGUCUUUGUUACUUAAAAAAGCCAAAUAUUGAGAGGAGUAUCAUUUGAUUUUCCCUGUCUGUCAGAGAAUGAGAGCACUUCUUCUAUUUUAACUGCUUGUCGAGCCCCUGGCCCACAGACAGAGAUUGUCUCAGCCAAGUCAAGUUGGUACAACAUCAGUGACAGAGGUGGCACAGUUAAUGAGAGACAUGAGGCAUGUGUGAUGUGAGUCAUAGAGUGCUGGUGUAUUCCCAUACUGUGCAAGGUGCACUGUGUUUUAAUGACUAUGGGGAAAGUUGGUGAAAGCCUGGACAGAUGGUUUCUCUAGAGGCUUUCUCUGUAAGGAGGAGCUGUCACAAGUGAAACCAGUUACAUUGAAUUAUCUUUUCUCCUCCAACAGCCUAAAAGUGGUCGGUCUUAAAUAACAUGAGUGGAUGGUUGAUGGACGUUUUGAAUUUAGAGAAAAAGAUAAUAGGGGUAAUUGUACUUCACCUUUACAUAGUUUGAGUGCACUUUAAAAAAAUCAUUUAAAUUUUUCUAAAGUUCUUAAAGUUCCAUUCUGAUCGUGUUGACUUUUCUCCCGCAGAGCUCCAGUAGCUCAUUAGCAAUUUGCCUCUGAGUUGUGGGUUGAGACAGCGCUGCUCAGCACAUUGGUCUUCAUAUUAGUUUGCAGCUUGACAUCGCCGGUGUAGUAGAAGUGGCAGAUAACAUAGCAGCUAUUCAGCUCUCGGACACUAAUGCCUUUAGGGACACAAUGAAAGUUAAUAUCAUGAUUAGCUUUCUUACAAGCAUUGCAAUCUGCUAAAGCAGGUCGCCAACCUUUUUUGUACCAGGGACCAGUUUCAUGCGGGAGACUUUUUCCAAGGACCGGGUAGGGGCGUGGAGGUUCCAACAAAGACCUUAAUCAGUACAUAGUUUGUACGUAAUCUGGAUAAAACAAUUACAUUCUGUAUUCGGCACUUUUCAUUACACUUUAACAUCAACUCACCAUCAUGCAGAAUCAACCCUUUCUCUCUCCAGUGAACUAGUGAACUCUUUCUGGCUCAUUUUUGCAAGGGCUAGCUUGUGUUGCUGAUGCAGGAAAAUUACGUGCUGAAGAGUCAAGCAUGAAAGUGAGGCGAUGGCGGUAGUGGUGGUCUUUCAAAAUAAGAUAGUGGGAGGAUGGAUGAAAAGAAAAAGAAUUAUUUAAUCAUCCUAAUUUUUUUUAUGGCCCGGUACUAAUUGAUCCAUGGGUAAUGGUCCGGGACCCCGUGGUUGGGGACCUCUGUACUAAAGCGUACGCUUGUUCCACGAUUAUCCUCUCUAGUUCUCAGUCUGGCCUGCAUAGUGGGGCUCAGGGGGCGGAGCUUGGAUUUGCUAUGUAAGAAAUCUCACUGUUUCUGAACCUGCCAUUUGGGUCUGUCAGAGAUUCUCAGCGAUUUGAACGUAAAAAUACUCAGAAAUGCAAUUUCGCUCUUAGUUUUCUCAUGAUAUGUCCUGUAGGCGAUAAUUUUUUUGUAGGAUGGUAGGGGAAAGUCCCGCCUCCUUCGCCUCUGAUUGGCUAGAAAAGCUGGAAACGUCAUCACAGGCUUAAAGCCAAACACGGCCUGUUGGCUCUGUACAUCAAAGAAAACUUAACAUAACAGUAUCGCACUUCUAAAUCUCCUAACCCUAACUCUAACCCUAACUCUAACCUGACAGUUGAUGACGUUUCACAGCCAUAAGGAAUAACACAACCAAAGCCCAUCACUUUUAGCCAAUCAGAGGCGAGGGAGGGUGGGACCUUCACCUACCAUCCUACAUAAAAAUUUGUUCGCAUCCUUUAGCAUCAGAAAAAUGCCAUAUGAACAUGUAGACAACAAGAAAAAACAUAAUUUUCAUCGGAGUGGGUCUUUAAGGGUAAUAUUUGUUUGAAGAAUCACAGUUAAACUUUAUUCAAGUGCCUAUUAACCUUUUUUUUGUCAGUGGAGUUUACAUUUCUGAAAUAUUAACAUCUACACUUGACUCCCAAAGUUAAGAUAACCAUUCCUACUAUCAAAAGAUUGCUUGUAUGUUUUGAUGCUAACGUCCGGCCUGGUUUGGUUGCACUAGUUCUGGAUGGCAAUACCAAUAAAGUCUGUUGAAAACAGCCAGCACAAUAGAAGUGACACCUUUCAAAGCAUGUUUGUAUUCUCCUGCAUCAAAAUAAGCCGCAUGAGCACAGUAAUAUCAAGCUUUGCAGGCUGGUCUGUCUUUCAUUUUUCUUUUUUUCUUUUACAUUUGGCUGAUUAACAUAAACAGCCGGCUUUUAUUGGAGGCGUCCACAGCGAGUGAAGCUCAACAAUUCAAACAUCAUUUUAAUUACUUGUCAUCACAGGAGAAGGUGACAAGCAGAACACUGUGGAUUCAGGCUUAAACUGAGCAUCCUGCUUCAUUCAGACUGAUGUUUGCAUAUAGUGAACAAAAUACUGCAAAGGAUUUAAUAUUCUGUAUGAAUAUAUAUGCUAACACAACAUCACAUGCCUACUGUGUUCUUGUACGCAUGGGUGAAGCCUUGAAACACAAACGCAGGGACAUAACUUUCAGUGACACCGUCUCACCUUAGACUUCGGGCAGGAUGUGUUGAAAGGAAAGCAUUUUCAGCUUGUGCUGUAUAACCACCCAGAUGGUGUUUCUGUAAGAAUCAGAGUUCACAUAAAUAAAGGUGUGGAAGUGACUCUAAAACAGAGCAGAUAAAGGAACACCAAAUGUGUUAUAUACUGUCUGCUGGUGAGAAAGCCUUCGUGGAAGUAGUGCAGGCACCUGCCUCAGUACCUCUCUUCUUCUCCGCCUGUGAAAAUGUUGUUUUUCUUUCGAGGGAGUGAAGGUGCAUAUCUGCUCAGAAAGAGAAACAUGUUGCUACUGUACCAAAACAAACAGGAUAAAUCUCACCAGCAGAGGCAGCGGUGCAGAGACAAGCCUGACAACAGCCGCAGGGCCCAGCGACUACUGCACUCUGCCUAAUCAAGCAGCCUUUUGAAAAUGUUGUCACUUUUAUCCCAGGAAAGAGGAGGGUAAGAGAAGGUUUUCAGGUUGCAUGGAAAACAACAGCAAGACAAAAGCAGAGUGGGUAGAAGAUUUCCCCUUGAAGUAGAUGUCCUUCAGGUGAUGUGCAGAGACUGUAGCAAAAUAAAAUACAGCUAAGCAGAGUGUGUAGGAAGAAGUGGUACAGGCCUGUCUUACAGAAUAAUGGACUCAUCUGAGCUAGGCUUUCUUAAAGUUUUGGGUGGCUUCAAGUUUCUUCAAGGGGAUAUGCAUGAGGAUAAUGUAAUAGCAGUGUAAUUGUGAAGCAUUUUGGGAGUUUUUGCAGAAGAAAAAUCCCAUAGAUUACUCUGAUUUGUUGCUGUGCACUGGUUUAAGUAGUUGGAUCAGACAAGUAUGUGGAGGAGGAAAUCAAAAGGGUGAAAUGGGGGGAGUUCCACUUAAAGGAUGUAUGAUGUAUAGGCUUAACUUAAAAUAGCCAAGCCUGUUGAAGAGUGCCAUUGUGAUUCAAAGGCUUCUUAUAUUUGCCACAUCGAGAUUUAAAGGGAGGCAGAACAGCCAAAAUAGCUGCAGUAGUAUUAUUACAUUCUUUCAAGAAAACAUGUUGCCUGGUUUCAUGAAAGAAUGGGACCACCACACACUUGUUCUUGCCAGCUGUCAAAGAUAAAAUGUCAUGUGUGAUUGGAGACACAUUGUGGAGGGGGGAAAAUAGUGGCAAACUGAAGAACAUUUCUGUCACAGUGAUAUUUUUUUGUCCUUCCAGAACAACAGCUGAAGACAUCUCUCAGUUAAUUAACUUUUUUGUGAGGCUCGUUGAAACGGUCCGAAAAACACUGAGCGGGAAUGAGCUGUAAACGGACAAAAGGAACGAUUUGGCAUAAGAGCUUAUGGCUCAAUUCAAGGAAGUCUGUCCAUCGACUCUCUUACAUACCCGUGUUCAGUGAAGCCUUCACAACCAAAACAUGCCUGAAGAUGCACUUAACAUGCUCAAACACACGCUGUAAAACUAACGAACUUCAUUAAAGAGAAUCCUCUGGAUUCAAGGUUGUUCACUAUGCAAUAAAGACAAAACAUGGCUGCUGCUCAGUGGAAAGCACUGGCUGUUAUGGGUAAAGUGUUGAUAAGGCAGUUAUUAUCUGCAUAAUCAGGGCUCUCUGCAGAUAGGAGCAUACCUGAAUGCAAGGUAAGAGCACUCAGUGUUAGCUUGUUUAACACACAGCAAAGGGAAAGGACUGAUUAAAGAAACACUAGAAUUAUGAGGUUGUUAAGACUACAUUCCUGCACUUCCUAAGUAUCCAAUACUUUGAGGCAAAUGACGCCACAGGGGAACUUGUCAAAAGUGUAUCAAAGAAAUGAACACUCAAACCGAUUGGCUGAGCAUCUAUAUGGACAAUCUCAGAUAUAGAUUUGCCUCUUGUUUAAAGCUCUCCGUCCCACAGCUGUCAUUUCAGUCGCACUUGAUUGACCUGGCAUCUGAUGGAGAAGUACAGUUCCCGUUCAAACAAAAGGCACUUAUGGAUUUUUGGAUCCAGACUGUGACAGAAUACCAAGUCCGUGCCGGUCCCUUUGCUCUGGCUGUGAUGUAGAUCAAAUCUUGCUGUACUCUAGAUGCUGCUGGGUGACAUAAUGGAGCUUUGUGAAAACAUGCAGGACAACCAAGUGCAGUUAGAAGGACCUAUCUCACUCAAUUUAAAGGGAUAUUCCGUUGUAAAAUUAAGUUAGGGUCAAACACACCCUAACAUUAUUAUUAGACACUCCCUUGAGAGAUAAAUGUUGCCGACUGCUUGCUUCUCUAGUUCUACCAACUUCGUAACGACCGCACGAUAGCAAUACACAGCGGUCCCAGGAGCCACGUGCUCAAUCAAAACGCCACUCUAUAGCAACAAAUAAUGCUCAAAACAGCACCUAAUUUCAUCAACUGUACAUAUAGGGUCCUAGCCAUAGCACUAGCCACCGAACAUCUUUUUAGCUUUGCUGAUUUCUUUAGCAAAGAGACUAAACACAACUCACCGUCUCUCUUCCAGCAGCCGCUUGUUUGCACGGAGACCUUCGGUCUUUGACUGCAGCGGGGUGACGUAGCUCAAGGAAGAACAUUUAUGAUCACUACUUUAUCAUUUCUGUGAAGUAAUAAUCAUCAUAUUAAUCAUUUUGCACUGCAGACACGGUAGUUUUUCUGCCUUAGCGUCUCAGUCUGAUCGCAUUUCCAUGAAGAAAUGAUCAUAAAUGUUCUUCCUUGAGCUGCGUCCCCCCGCUGCAGUAGAUGGACUCAGUCUCCGUACAAACAAACAGCUGCUGGAGAGAGACAGUGAGUUGUGUUUAGUCUCUUUGCUAAAGUCAGGCAAAGCUAAAAAGAUGUCCCAACUCGGUGUUAUGGGGUAACUCUGUGUUACGAUGUUUGACCCUAACUUAAUUUAACGCCGGAAUAUCCCUUUAAUUUGGCAUUAUAUCAGCCUGGGACACCUUUGUAGUAAACCUUUUUUUUACACUGCUGUCUAUGAAAACCCUUGACAACGGGGAAGUUAUGCUUUGGCAGAAAAUAUUAGAGGAUAUCUGUUGGUGCCUACUCAGCUCCCCAUUUAGCCUUGUUAGCACCGGUUAGCCAUUGUUCAGUAACAGCCGAGACCCAAAUUCACCUUGAUCUGGACUCUGUCUACAAAGGAGCACAAACAACUGUUGUCAAAAAAAAUUUAGAGUUUUCUGAAGCCUUCAUCUUUCCCUCAGACUGCAUAUAAGAAACUCUGAGACACAAUUAUCGAACAAAAUGCAGAGUAGAUGUGGAGCUACCAGCGGGGCAUGUCAUUUAACAAUGUCCGGAAAGGACAGCAGAGCCUUACAUCAAGUUCAGAACAAAUUUUGUUUUCAAAGUUGUCAAAACAAGCCAUUCAGGGAAUCUGGAAACAGGCUUGGAGAUUCCACCCAUGUCUGUACUGUGUAUCUCAUUAUGAAAGGUGUCCAGGUCCGUUACAUGCAUGUAUUACAAUACAAACCAGCAUAAUAGGUCUCAUUUAAAGCAAUAAGAGUAAAAUUGUCAGGAGUAUUUCUCAAUGCACAGAGGAUUGCGCUCAAUAGAUGGUAGUUGGCAUGUCUCUUGUACUAAUGCCACCAGAUUAUCAGGCUUACUCUUCCUUCACUCUCUCACUCUCCCUCUCUCUUGUUGUGACAAAGCAACGCAUUCUGCACUUCACUUCCUUGAAUCAAUCUUCUCUCAAUAUCUUCCAUACACUGUCAUGGGCGCUCUGAUUACUGUAACGGUUAUGUAUGGUUGAUUCCAAUAUAAACCUAAUGUGAAUGAUGGAGUAUGACAGGGUUUUCAGCCAUCUUCUUCCAUGAUGUGCAUAUCUGCUUCUAAACCCCUGUGUGUGUCCUUAUAUAACUUUUUUACUUUGUGUUUAAAAAGUUAUUGGCCUAAUUUUGUUGCAGUGUAGUUUCAGUGUCAGUGGCGUAUUAAAAAAUUGUCAGUAUCUCUGUGAAAUAUUUUGUUUAUGCUACCAUAAGUUGAGGUUUGGGGUAGUGGGGAAUAGAAGUUGGAUGUGAACUCAAAGAGCCUUUGCACAUAUUUAAAGUUAAUGUUGAACUUUAGGCAGGGUUAUGUAGAAUGACAGAAAAUUUACUUUGUUUUUGAAGAGACUGGCUCUUAACCCCUUUAAUUCACUGUGCAAUAUUGAAUUUAGUAAGCCAGCUGCAAGCACUCGAUUUGAUUCAAACUUGGGUGGUCAAACAUCGUCUUAAAUCUUACAUGGCUUUUGUUCGCUGAACAAUACCAUACCAUACAUUCAUUAUUUCUUUUAGAUCAAAGCGGAACAAUUUAUGAUCACAGUCAAACAUCCGUUCCUUUGAAGCAUCCUCUUUGUAAACAUGAGAAAAUGAUGAACCUUUAAGCCACACAAAAGAAAUAAUCAUCUUCAGUUUGGGAAAAAUAUUUUACCAUUAAUGUCUCUUAAAAACAUGCAACCAUUCUGAGAGGGUCAGGACAGGAAACUGAAUACCAGACUCAGCACUCAGUUUGACUUGAUGAAGACCAGCAUCCAUAAAUACACUUUAAAGUCUGGUUGAAAGAAAUCGAAAUACAGAAUAUUUGAAAAAUACCCUGUCCUUGGUGGACAAAUAUAAAACCUCUAUGUUUGUGUAGUACAUCCACCUACCAGGCAAUCAUACAUCAAUCUAAAUGUAAAACAUAUGGCAACUAUUACUAUUUUUUACUAUUAAAGAGCUGAAUUAAUGAAGUUCUUUUGUCAGGCUUUUAUUUAUGCAGAGCUUCAUUCAGUCUGCGUUUUUCCUAUUUUUUGAAGACGAGAAGGUAGUGUAGCAGCGGGAAUAAGUGACCUUCUACUUCUAUUUUUUUCCCUUUAUCAGGCUAAGGGCCUCAUAAUUACUGGUCUUAACAGCCACAGCAUUUCAGUGAUUCUCUCAGGAAUAAAGCAACUCAAGGUUCAAGGUUAAGAAUUCUUUACAAAUAAUUACAUUAAAACCAUUUCUAUGAAAAGUGUUCUCCCUGAUUACAAUAGAAAGGCGGAAAAUUUAUGGACAUAUUUAAACAACCCACCAAGAGAAGGAAUUUUGGCAGAAUGUUCAGGGUCAGACCGUGCAUUUGAUUAAACUUAAGAUGUAUGCUUAUAGUGCAGCUCUAAUGUCUGCUCUAAGUCUGAAAAAAUAAGAUCAUCCUGUAUUUGGGAUCUGGACCUGAAAUUUGAAAAUUCAUUCCCAACAGUUGACACGCUACUUGUCUCAAAGUGUGGUUUCUUUCAUGACUGAGGCCAGCAAUCACUCACAACCAAGGAUGGAAGAUGGAGCGAUACAGUGAUUGUUACAAACUGGCCAGCUCAAAAUUGGGCCAAGUUUUUUUUUAAUUAUAGUUGAAUUAUGGUGCUGAUUUUAUUCCGAGUGAUAAGAUAGUAAAGUACUGACAAGCAGCCAAGAAAAAUAGAGUCACCUAGUGUAAUGUCCCAAAAAAUUGUGCGCCCAAAAUGCCAGUAAUCACAGAAAACUGGCCCUUAAUGCAGCUGCUUCCAAGAAAGCAACAGGAGCAUGUGAGUCUAAUACAGAACAUGGAUUGAAGGUAUGCACAUUACCAGAGCUGAAAGCGUGGGAGAGCUCCUUAUGCUUAGUUGGCAAUAAGCUUAAUGUUUUUUUUUCCCCCAUUUGAGAUAUUAGUGGUAAAUUCCAGUGCUGCUGUGCUUCAUUUUUGUCCUUUAAUUCAAUGGAAUAAGAUUUGUUCAUGAAGCAGUACUUUUCCACAACUUAAUCUUAAAAUAGAAACAGAGGUUUUCUAGUGAUGAGGGUCAUUGUCAUACUCAGACAUCAUUUUUAUCACAGUAUUUCCUGGUUUUCUAUGAUUUUUUUUUUUAAGCUAAGGUGUAAAUGAAAGAAAAGCCUACUUUCUCUGGUGUUGUCCAUAUUGCAUUUUAUGAACCAAUAAAUCAAAAAAUUUUUUAUUAUUACUCAAAAUCAAAUUUGAAGAAUAGGCACUUGAAAUUGUAAAGCAGGUUUUGAUUGUCCUCUUUGAAAUACCAUUUACAGUGAUGCGACAUCAGUUCACCAUGGCAACAGCAGCAACAGUGUUUCAGCGAAAACUCGCUAAUGCUAAUACCCGCCCUGCGCUGCAGUGCCUGCGUGUGCCGUAUACACUGAUGCACAGCCUACUGAGUCUGAAGUAGCGCCAUGUAAGAAAACCCCCUUUUUUUUCAGGGUGUGGCAGCUUUUAUUUAACCAUGGCGGUGCGCCACGAUCAAUUCCAUUUAGGAGAAACCCUGAGAAAGGUUAAACUUUUUUCAACAAGCAGAAAUCUGAAACAGAUUACUUUAACUGGGUGCCACAGAUGGCUGUCUCCCAAAGAAGUUUCACUCUGAACAAAGGCCUGGCCAAGAGUCGAGAAGCAAGUUUGACUGAUUGGUACAGUCUAUGUAGGACACAGUCAUAUACCAACUAAUUAUCGUGUUGUCAUGGCAGCAGGAGGGACGACACUUGAUAGGGUGGAUGACUUUGUUUGAUGAGUUUUGUUUUGUAGGGAUUGCAACAGCCUGAGAAAGAAAGACACUACUUUAAACCACAUGGACCUCCAAUUCAGAGCCAAUCCUUUCAAAUUCUGAAUCAAGAGAAGUAAUCCAGGUCUUGAAUCAUAACACAGGCCAUCAACUUUAUGAAAUGCUGUAAAAGUAAGCGUAAGUAGCACAUCAACCUUUAGGUCUGUCGUUCCAAAGUACAUUUCACAGGCACGCCUCGGUGUAAAACAUUUACUGAAAACAUGCUGCAUUAAAAGAUCGUUUAGGGAACGAUUUAGUCCCAGGAAAGUAUUUGAAACCAAUGCCUGAUGUACUGUAGGGUCAGUUAAGUAGAUCAUUGAUAUUGUAUAUUUCUCUUCAUUCCCCCACUUCCUUUUGGUAACGUGUCCUUGUGCGAAAUGGAAAGAAAAUUACUUUAAAUAGCCAUUAGCCGUCAUCGCAAUCAGCUAGUAAGUAAUCCAAAGGAAACACUUCUGUUGAAAUAACAGGGACUUUGAGAGAAAGUCUGACAUGUGUAGAUGUGUUUUCCAAAUCUGAGGACUUAAUGGAGGCCAUGUUUUUAGGUCCUGGCCUCUAGUCUCUGCAGUAUCAACUCCUUCAUCAGCACAGGCAGACUGAAGGAGAGACCGGUGAACCUUGUGUGCCUCUCCUCCCAAAUCCUUCAAUCUCAGCAGCAAGCUUUCCAAAGUCAAAUCAAACAAUGUUCAAAUUUAGUCUCUCCACCCUCCAGCUGGAAGAAAGUUGACUUUUCUUCUUUCUCAUCCAGGCAAAAAGUAGAGUAACAAACUGGCUGUAAAAAUAAAAAUAAGGUUCGUGUAAGGAGAUGAAAGGAAAACUUUGCAACAUCUGGCAAGCAGGCGCUGGCAGGUUAAGGUAAACAGAGGUGUCCUUUUAUGGUAGUGCGCCUACCCUCCGCAGAAUCAGAGGUAUGAUGUGGAACACCUUCAAAGGAGCGAGGGGCCAGCACAUCUUGUUUCAAUUUAUCCUCUCACUGAAAGACAUGCUCUGUGGCCAUAAUAUACUCCCACAAAGAGGAUACUCGGCAUACGCUUGUACUAUCUCACGUUAAUAGCGAGCUGUCCUUGGUUAUGGGCACAUUCUCAGACACAAAAGCUUUUGUCAAAAUAUGCAUCUCAUAUCGCACAGGCUCAAACUCAGACACCCAGAUAUUCAGAGUCUCGCAUUUUUCCUGUGACCUUCUGUGAAACCAGGGCGGGGGUAGAUUAAUUAGUUCACAGCCAGCCCUGAAAAGUAGCCGCGUGCCAGACCUGCAUGUCAGCCUGUACAACAUCUGGCAGCGGGCAUCUGGUGCCAUACAUCAAACUAGCUCCACGCCCCACACACUCAAUGCUGGCCUGAUCAAACUAACUUCUAGAGCUAACAUUUGCUUUACAGGGUGAGAAGGGGAUUGCAAGGUCCAGAGGCAGGACAGGUUCUUGUACCUGUUUUUUAAAGGUCAUGCCAGUCUAAGAUGUGAGAUUGAACCUUUUUUAGGGUUGGGUAAAAGAAAAAAGAAACAAACAGUGCAGAGGAAAUCACAGCCAUCCAUUUAUUUUCCUGUUUGCUACCAAUUCCACCUUACCUCUCAGCCCUCACACUCCCAGCUGCUCCACGUGCCCCCCUUUUGCCAAAGCCUUUGAUGUGACGAGCCGAAAUGUCACGAACCUACAAGCGCUCCAACCGCUUAGAAAGCUCUAAUGAACAGGAUAAAAACACAACCCCUGAAUCAAUGAGCGGGCGGCAGCAGCCCUGUAGCUGUCACACUGAUAUCAGAGUGGGGUCUGCCCUCCAUGCUGAAGCUGCAGGAGAAAAACAGACAUCCCGGUGAUAAUAGGCAGCAGACUUUAGGGCUGUUAAAAUGGGUCACUUAACGGUGCACGUAUCUGUGGAGCCCUCUCAAUAUUUCUUCCUCUCCCUGUCUGUUUCCUUCUUUCUUCCUCGCUCCUCACCCUAUUUUUCUUUAAAACUGACCCUCCAGCAGAGUCCUGACUUUUGAUAACGUUAACUACAUUCCUCCCCGGUGAAACCACUGCUGGUUAUAUAGGGCAUUGUCAGACUGCCAGUGUUCACGGUCAUAAAGCAGCAUGGCAGGCCUCUUUUUGAAUAGAGACGCCUACCCGUCUACUUUAACUCUUUUAUUAUCUUGUUUCAUUGAGUUUUGACUCUCUUGUUCGGUAAUGAGAGAAAGGCGUUUUUUUUUUACCUUAACCGCCUCUCCCUCUGUGCACGGUGCCAUAGUCAGCAGUGGAGUAUAAUUGAAUGAUUUUGCAAGGGAUCAAUGAGAUUAGGGAUUGUGUUUAUUCCUCUGUCGCUCUGGAUUAGAGGUCCUUUUAUAUCUGCCUGGAGGAAUAGCAGAUACAGUCCACACUCCAAACACAAACACACACACAAAGCAGAAAAACGUGCUGACAGGAUAGGGAGACGUUAAGACUGUUACUGUGAGGUGUUGAGGCUGUAAAUGAGCUUAACGAACAGCAAGGUGUUUUUGAAUCACUGUAAAUGAUGUGUUAUCCUCCUGCUUGUUGAAAGAAAUACGCACCUGCUUCCUUAUGCGUCUAUAGAUACGUAGUUGUCUGUUUUUUUGUACCUUUGAAUGCAUGUUUUAGCCUUCCCUUUGGUAGCAGAGCGGCUUCAGAUGAGAUUGCUGAGGGGGAUUUUUUUUUUUUUUUUUUUUUUCCCAUAGUCUGUUCCAAAAGUGGGGGAAGGCUCAGACGAGAUGUUUGUAAUGUAGGCACAGCCUGCAGGCCUGCCUCUCCGUUUUUAUACGGGUAAAAGGAGAGUUUGCUAUUAUUAACCUCGCUACGAUUCCGUCCUUCCACCAAUCCAGCAGUAAUCCUAAUAAUCCAAGCUUGUGCUCCCAUCCCUCAGUAAUAAGUGCCAGAUGCUGAUAGUACAGAUAAACAGCAAACCUGUGUUUUUAUCCAAGAAAAACAAAGCAGAGGGGCCCGCUGGAAUCCACACGCUGUGAUGAAAGAAUGUGAAAACAGUGGUACACAUAAGGAGAGAAAAUCUCUCAUCAACCCGAGAGCCUCAUGCAAAACCACUCCUCUGAACAGGUCCAUGCUUAAGUGGAUCAUGAAACGCUUUAAAUGAAUUUGUGGUAUUCACCCAUUUUCCUGUACUUAGAAUUUCCUUUUCGGUAAAUGAAAUUUCCAAGUAGUGAAGACUCCUCGAAUGAGCCAUGUUCAGGGACUAAGCCUUUCUGGAUCCCAUGGGAAAAACUCUCAGAAAUCAAAACUAAAAUACCCAUAAGGCUAUUGAAUUCGCUAUGAAUGAAGGACCGAAUUUAAUUACGAUAGAGAAAAUUCUUGAAAUUAAUUCAAUGCAAAUUUAGCACAAUAUUAACACGGACAUGGCUCAUCAGUCUACAGAGAAUCACAAAAACAUGUUAUCCCUCACUCUGCUUUACCUUGAUUGCACUUCAACAUCAUCUUUAUUAUUGUUACCAUGGCAUCAAUGCUCCGCUGCACUAAAUGAAAUACAGAGCAUGCUGUUUCCCUGACCUUUACAAAGAGCUCUUUUUGGUACCUUUUAUGUGACUUUUUCAAAAGCCCAAUAGGGACAUAAAAACAGAAAAUUGUCCAGUGUUUUUUCUAAAAGGGUAGAGAAAAGAGCUUGUCUUUGAGGUUUAUUUUUUGAGGGUUACCUUUAACUAGUGAAAUCAAUUUGGUGAGUCCAGCUGAUAAGAAAUAAUCACUGAGAAAAUGUCAAGGAGGUUACUCAGGAUAAUUUAAAGAAGUAUUAAAGUCUGUUGUCUUAGAGUUUAAUAGCAAAACUACGCAAACUUUCAACAUUGAGAUUUUUAUAACAAAUGUUGAAAAUGUGAGGGACCCUACACAAAAACAAUUAACAAUGGAUUUGACAGUUUUGCACCUGCAGUGUGCGUGGAAAGCAACGAUUAGCCAACAAUAGCCAACCAUUCACCAACAACAUGAGUCCCCACUGUCAAAACUUGAAACUUUGCAAAAUCUUGUGCGGUCAAACAUUACUUUUAAAUUGUUCACUAAAACAUUGUUGAAACAUGUUAGCAAGAGGCUAACGGUGUACGUCAAACGUUGAACUCACCAUCACUUUAAAGGUGGCGUAGGCAGGAUUAUGUUAAAGACGCAUCUUUUUUUGUGGUAUAUAUACAAAAAAAGCUUUUAAUGUCAGUCAAUAGCUAAUAGUUAUUGAUGAAAUUUGGUAAUAUGAGAAUAUCACUGUGUUUAGUUAAUUAGCGCACUCUUUCUGAAUGUAAACAAAGCCAUUCUCCGCCUCCCCCAACCUGAUUGGUUGUAAGGCAGACGCUGCUCUCUCUUGUUGUAAGGCACGCCCCACGUCCUCCAAUAUCGUGCGCGAGCCCAAACGAAGUUAGCGUGCUACAAUAUCAGACAGUAGAAACCAACCAGAAAGUACAGAAAACGCAAGCAAUAAAAACAAGUAAAAACCAGAGAUUCUGGCAGAAUAACGGGCGAUUAAAACGGAGGCAGACCGGACAAGGGCCCAAAAGCCGGGUCAACGUCAGCAUUAAUGAUGGGGUACGCUUCGGGAUAUUAUGGACCCUGUAACCUCUCUGCCGGACAGGUAAACCGCUUUAACAAAGUAAGCUAAGUGCCUGUAACAGCAGUGUUUCUUGUCAAACGGGAUCUGCUGUGUGUUGUAGCGCUGCUAAACUGUUUACCUCGGGUCCUGGACUAUGUCACUUUAUCCUAGUUGUAGAAGUCCUACAAACAUUGUGUUUGCUGGUAGUCUGUUGGCAUCUACAGUAGCACCAAUUCAUUUUAUCUUCACGUUGACUGGGCCCCAUUUGUUAUUAUCUGUAGUAUUUAUCUGCAUUAUAUCUGAAUUUUAUUGAAAUGUUACGAUCAAGGACGAGCGUCUGUUUGUGGGCGGGGCUUGCUGGAGCAGAGGGAGGGGAGAGGCGGAGCUGAGGGGAAAACUUGUUGGAGGGGUAGUGUUUACAUACAAGAUUUCUCCCAAAAACUGGCCCUUCCUCAGAUCCUGCCUACUCCACCUUUUAACAGCUCAGCACCAUUUUUUCAUUUGAUAGGUACGUUUUAUUAUGUCCUGCUGGGUUUUGUUUACUACCUGGCUUCCCAGCAACACAUUUAUACUAUUCUGCUUCUGACCUAAAGCUGCAUUCACACCCAAAACCCUCUUGGUAAACAAAGAGCGUUGCAUUAAAUCAACAGUCAAGCUGCUCAAACUGAUCUCUUUGGAUGUUAUGAAACUUCACAAAUGCUUCCAUUUUCCUGCUGAGGCAGGACAGGGAUACAUUGUGCAUAAAAAGAAAGAAAAAAAAAACAAGAUCCAGUGGUUUUAUCUGUCCACCUACAAAGAAUUAGUCGGUAUAUGUUCUGGAUGAGCACGAGUUCACGCUCUGCUUUGAACGGAGGUGAGAGGAAUUAUUUGAAUUCCACGGCAAAGUCAUUUUUCCCUUUUGAAUACAGAUGUGAAAGAUACCUAUAGAAAUGUGGUGAUUGGUACAUUUGUAAAGGAUUACAACCUAGUGACACUACACAAUCCCCGACUAAUCAAAUAUUUCCCUGAACUACCACUUAUCGUGAGCGCUGCAGUGGAUGUUUCUGAAUAGUUUCUUUUGUCACUCCUCACUGUGAUUCAUUUCCAUUGGUGGGUGACUCUGCCUGGCCCGGUCGUGGGAAUGCUUUGUUUCCUUCAUUCAUUUUAGUUGGAGAAUAAGCUGGCCUUGACUAAUGCUUUGACACAAUACCUCACCUUGAAGGCUUUUUACAUGGAAACUAUUCAAUGAUUUAUUUUUUUUAUUGUUAUCGGUUAGGAAUACCAUCGGUAAGUGACAGCAGAUUUCAUCCUUUCUUGAGUUCAAGGUUCAGCUCUGCUUAAGAAAAUAUGAUUGUUUUUUCAACAGGAGAAAUAGAGAAACAAAUAGUGGCGCUGAAAAUGUAUUACUUCAUUCUAUGACAGUAUGAUCUCUGUCCUCUUAACUGUGGCUUUGAAAGGCUUCAUUCUUUCAUGUUUAUCAAUACCACUUUUUUUUUUUUUUUUGCUACCUGCUUUUCGUCGUCUGUUAUUGUUGGAUAUUAGGUUGACAACAUGCUCCGAGACAGGACUUUGUGAUUCCUGAUUGAAUCACAAAGUCCCACCAGACCUGAGAGCAUUUUUUUCUAGGCUGCUGACAGCACUGUGAGCCAAAUAGUCAAUCAUUGUGAGGGGACGGCGAGGGUUGUACCACUGUCCGCUUCAAGCCGGCAUCAAAGGUCAUGAUCUCAGAAAGCAAGGUAGCAGCCAACAGACUGAAGUUGUGCGGCACUGCCACUCUCUGGCGUCUUCUCUUACGUGGCAGCACUGUCAGCCAAAAACAGUAGACAGCUGAAAGGUUGCUUAGUCAUCGUCUGUCAUCAUCUUAACAGAGAGCGAGGCUGCAGCCAACAGACUGGAGUUGUUCUGCCCUGACACUUCUCCCUGGCAUCAGGCUGGCUUUUACAUCUAUUGACUUUUAUUGUUUAUACUGCAGUAAUGUUUACCAAAAAGUCAACCAUUGUGGACAACUGAAAUACUGCCGUUACGCCGCCUGGAGAAAAAGUGGUUUAGCCAUUGUCACCCACCUGAGUAGAGAGCUUUUUGUGGACUGAAGUGUCACUGCUGCACACGUCAGUAACAGUCUUCUUUUCCUAUCAGGGUAAGUUCAAGAGUCACGAACAGAAAGCACCCUGAACCAGCAGCAUGUUUAAGAAACACCUGCGUUUUUUCCCAUCUUAUACAAGAAGAGUACCAGCACCAACGAGGACCCAUCUGUGGUUGUUUGAUUUUCUUUAUGGAGAGUGAAACCAGAGCUAGCUGCAUAUCCACUGCCAUAAAGCACACCACCACCUCAGUCAGUCUGAUCGGCACAGAUUUCUCAUUCAGGCGCUUCUUCACCUUAUCUGUCCAGCCAAUCAGUUUGCCCCAAUGCUAUCGCCUCAGCCAAUUUAUAUUCUGGAUCCUCACCUGUGCCACUCGGAGUCCUCUCCUCCAUUAUCAUCUCAACCUUUCAAAUUAUUCACCACCACCUCAGCGUGAGCAAUAUGGGGUGAAAUUUCCAACAGUUUUUUUUUUGUCUUGCAUUGACUGAUUUAUAUCAGUGUAAAUGCAAAGAGUUCUCACAUGAAAAUGAAACAUGUUCCAGUUGUACUCCGAAGUCGGGAUUUCCGAGCUCUGAAAUCCAAAAUUUUAUCUGGAACGCCCCCCUCUAGUCAGAUUUCAGACUCGGAAAGUCGGACGAUCCUCACCAACCCCGACUUGGCGACAACGUCAUAAUCCAAGAUGGCAGCGCAGUGCAACAACAGUAUAGAGUAAAUAGUGAAAGCUCUCGUAACAUAUUAUUUAUUAGCACUUCUGUUUUGUUUUUGUGAAAAUAAAUAAGCGGUUUAUGUUGUGCUGCCUAAUGUCUAACUGUGAACACGGUGCCAUGGUGUUUGUAAGGGUAAAAUAUGGUGUUGUUCGUUGUUUACAACUGGUAUAGCGAACAACAGCUGACAACAGCUAACAAUAGCUAACAGGAGGUGUCCAUCUUGGUUUUCCAACUUGUUUACUGGAGUGCCGUCAACUCCGGUGUAAUGUCAUUCCUAGCUCCAACAUCCAACUUUCGAAGUAACUGGAACGCAGCAUCUAACACAUCUGAGCCUAAAAUUGUAUAAAGUACUCUGUUCAGAGCUCGGUCUUUUGAAGCUUUGGCAAAGCCAGGAAUUAGCAGCGAUUGUUGUGAGUAACUGGGACAAAAAAAGACAAAAAAUAGUGGUGGACUCAAGCUCAUGUGUUCAGCAUCAUGUGUGGGUUAUUUUGGGAGUGAUUUACUUUUCCCAAUUGGUUCAAAAGAAGAGAUAAGUUGCAUCGAUCUGAAAUCUAUGGGGGGUAGCUUAAGGACAGCCAAGCAUGGCCUCAGUGAACUAUCACAUGGAUCCAAGCUAUAGCUGUUCAAGAAUCAAACCAACUAAAGAUAGAAGCACAACAAACACAGUCAUAACAACAGCAGUGAACAUCAAGCAUGAAGUUAGAUGGACAUCAAUAAAUGGAGGACCCAAGUUGUUUUGUGGCCAUAAAAAGUUUUCAGUUUGUUCAGGUUUUCUCGGCGCUCACUGCGACUCAAUAACAAGCUGAGCUGAACUUCAUCAGAAUUUGAUAAGUAGCUGUAAACCCUGGUGAAGUUUGCUCAAUUACAUCAAAUAAACAACACUAAAAAUAGCCAAUGUUUUUACACUUCCUGUCACUGUAUGAUUAUGUUUUUAAUGUGCUGAAAUCAAGCCACAGGAGCCUGAGAGUUAAAAGAAAAGUUGUUUUCUUUCCUCUGCCAUUUUAACCUCCCCUCUGUCUUUAAGAAACAUUACACAUCCUCAUGGAACGCUGUGGGAUCUCACAACAAAUCAGCCAUGUUGGUUUAUUUUUUCGAGAUUCAAAGCACAAAGGUGUUGUGCAAGAUUUUCCAAUAAAACCGUGACUGAACUCACCAGACAUCUCCUUUGUGAGAGAGGAUGACGGUGAAGAUUACUUCUUCGCAUGGCAUCUGAAAAGCCAACACUGGCCCUUGUGUCUCACCCUCCUUUUCAUGUUGAAUAAUGGAGGCCCCCAUUAGGCGGAGAUGUGUAAUUGCGUGAGUCAGGCACACAAAACAGCUUCUUUCUGUGUCUUUCUGGCAGCCUGCAUGUCUCACAGCUGAAUAAGGACAGGGCAGUCAGCCAGCUUAAACUCCAAAGUCCUGAUUUUCCUUCCCCUGUGUAUCCGUGUGUGUGUGUGUGAGUGAGAGAGAGCUUAAUUUUAUGUGUGAGUGCUCAUUUCAUGCCCAUUUCUUAUUUAUUGAUUUCUUUGUCUCAUUAUUUGUCUAUUUGUCUUCAGUUCAUUACACCAUUAUCACCAUGAUUGCCCUUUGAAAUAAAUCAUGCAGAAGGCUUUUCAGCAGUCAACCCUCAUCGUGAACAAUGAGGAAUAUCUCCGAUACAUAUUGACUAAAUUGUGAUGGUUUAUUAAGACAAUGAAGAUAAUUGUUAAAGGUAAUUGACCAAAUAAAUACUACUUAAUGGGUUCAGAUAGCUUCACAAAGACAGGAGGCAUGCUAAGAUCAUUUCUGCGCGCGGCAGUUUGUAUGACGUUUCAGCGGGAAACAAAAGAGCUCAUUUAUACUUGAUAACCUCUUUCCAUUAUUACAAAUCGCAGGAGUAAAAAUAGCACUUUUUUAAGCAGUUUGUCCCCGAUGAAGAUACAAUUCGCGUUCAUAAACUGUUCCAAGACAACAGAGAUGAGAUAUGCCGCAUAUUGUGUUUCCCAAUUUAAAUGAUUUCGUAUCGAAUUUUAAUGAAAUGUAAUCAGACACCAUAUAGUGGAAACAAUUAGAGUGAAUAUGAUUAGCAACUGGCAUAACAGUGGUAAUGUGAAGUUUUGCAAAUCAUCUUAUGCACCAUUACAUACAGAUGUCUGCCGUUUGCUGAGCAUCACUGCAGUAUAUUUGCCGGUUUUUUCCUUAACAAAAGUAAUCUUAUACUCUUUCUUUGCUUUAUUUCAGGUGACACACCGGAUAGAAAUCAAAGUCAAAAAGUGUCUCUUUUUUUUCCUGUAGGAUGUUAAAUCUGGUGUUGUUUAUCCCAAACUAAAAUAGAAGUCUGCAAACUUGCCUGAGGGCUAAGUCUUUCCCUCCUGAUACAACAGACACACCAAAUAAAGCACGAUCAAACAUGGUCAACUUAAAUAUUCUCUUUCAAAAUUAUCUGUGGUCUUCUCGAGGAUAUCAUGUUACACUCUUUUUCUGUUUCUAUGUCCAACAAGCUGCAAACUGUUUUGAAGUAUCCAGACACUUUUAUUUUUUGGAGGGAGUAGUAACACUGUCUGUGAACCUGUAAAGGGAAAAGCAGAGGCAGUCGUAACACACGCCCAAGACCUUCCUCGCAUCCUUUUCCGCCAAUAAUACAGUCUGCCACCUUUACACCCUAACUCCUCGCCGGUCAACCUUCACAGUGAGGGCAGGUCUGACUCCACAGUUAGGAAAUGUUGGUCCCUAGGCUGUAUUAAAAGAAAACAUCGCUCUGUUGUUGCUUGUAAAUGAUUUGAGUAACAGCCUUUUUUCCCCCUUUUUUUUUUGGCGUAAUUAAAUUCUCAGGAGCCCUCUGACUGCGCUGAGGAUUAAUCUCCCAUGGCACCUCUCCAUCUGCAGCUUGGAUCAUCAGCCAUCCCUCUCUGCAUUAGCCCCCAGCUGUGCAACUGUCUGCCCAACCCGGGACUCGCACCCAAAUCAGGGGCAUACUUUGGAAAGGAGAGAAGGAAGAGGAACGAGAAGAAGCAACAUCGAAAUUAGGGAGGUGUGUGGUCUCGUGUGUAUCUCUGUGUGGAUUGUAGGGGUGGUGUUGGAGAGCAGCAAUAAAUCUCAAUACUUCACAUCAAUUUUAUUUUGGAGGGCUGAUUUGAGCCUCAUUUUCCCUCGAAUGGCCUUUUCCGCUGAGACGUGAUUGAUACUAAUAGCUUCGAGAGCGGUUACAUUUAGGGGGGAAACGGCCUUUUUUUUAUUGGUGCAGACAGUUGUUAGUGCUGCACCGAGUGAGAUUGUAAAUUUGGCUCUUUUUCAUGUAAUGUGACUCUUGAGGGUGUUGAGGCUGAGCGCUUUGGUUGCACCAUUGCUCUCCAUCAGCUCAUUGGAUGCUCAGUGCUAAUGAGAUGAGUAAUUCCUUCCUCUCAUAAAUAAAC